rnacentral:lncRNA from 1 species
CAACAAUAUUUCAAAGGUUUAGAACAACCUUCUCCGAAGGGUAGUUGAUUAUUCCUCCUUUGAACCAAGACAAUCUUGACUAGAUGCUAUCUCUAGAAUAACUGCUUAUUCUUUAUAGCACUUAGUUAUCGCUACUUUAGUCAAGAAUAUACUAACAACUUAGUAAUUCUUGUAAGUGUUACCCACCAUUUUCAGAUUUCAUAGAUUAGAAUCAUUUAUGAAAACUAAUCUAAGAAAACCUAUCCAGAUUUGGAGUUCGCGGUGUUCCGAAUCCUAUAAUACAACCCUCCGAAGGGAACGUCGCUCCAGGGCAGACAAGCAGGCAUAUUAUAGAAAUCUCACGGUGCGACCUAAUGGAAGAGACCGUGGGAUGUGCUGCCACAAAUCCCUCACCCACUUACUAUGAACUACUUCCCCUAUUCACCUUGAUUUUGAUCCAUGCAAACACUCUCCGAAGGGAGGCCGCUCCUAUGCACGGCACAAAGCCCUACAUGGACCUCACGGUGUGAACUCUUAGGGACACUAGAGCUAAAAUACAUUAUUUUUCUCUAGUUGAAGUGUUCUAAAGAAAAAAAAUAGGGUAAUCCAAGCUUCAAGAUUUAUAUUUAGGUUAACUUAAACAAAUCUUAAGUCUAGAUAAACAUCCAAGUAUAACCAUUAUACAGGAUUUUAACUAUGAUGUCUAGGUGAUAAACCAUUUUUAUUACCUCACACCUCUCACGAAAGCUCAUAAAACUAGGUUAACUAGGCUCAAGAACUGAUUACGAUCUCUAGGUAGGAGGUGCUCCGUAAACCGUCAACUUAAGAACCUCCAGCCUUAGUUAUCUUAUCUGACUUGUUGACAAGAUUGAAUCAGGUGAGCCUUUUAUAACCAAUUUUACAAGAUAUCGACCUAUUUCUAUGAAAAAUGGAAGAUAUGUUUAACCUAAGCGAGCAUGCAUUUAAUCUUUGUUAUUGAUUUUAAAAGUCUAAUUUAUUUUAUAACACUUAUAAAACUUUUAGACUUAAUCAAUCAUUUUAUCAAUAUAUAACCUUAUAAAAACAAUCAAUUAAUAUGGAUUUUAAUUAUUUACUUUAAAUUAAAUCAUAUUUAAUUAAAUAAAUCAAAACAAUAAUUAAUAAUUUGAUUAAUCAUAUUUAAUCAAGAAUAACUUAAUUAAUUAAUCAUAUUAAUUAAUUUCCAUAUUAAUCAAUUAACACGCAUACAAUACAAUAUAACCUUUAUAUCAUACAUUUUAAUGUAUGAACAUGUUAACCUAUGGUGGGAUUUUAAAUCUAAUAUGACAUUCAAAAUGCACAUACAAAUUUAAAGUAAUUUAAUCAUACAUCACAUGCAUAAAUAAAAACACCCUAAAAUGGACUGAUUUUGGCUCCUAAAUUAAGCUAAGUACUAAAUUAUUACAUAAUUAAUUUGGUGUAGUACGGAACCACUCCCAAAAACUUCGAACCGGCUGAAAAACCAACCGAAACCGCUUGAACCGACCCAAAAACCAAAUUUAUUGGCUUGAACCGGCCGAAUUAACUAAACAGGCCCAAGCGCACACGGGUCGGGCGCAGGCGGGUCGCGAAGCGGGUCAAGGCCGGGUUUUCGGGUCUGUGACCUUCUUUUCUUCAUUUUUUUCAAUUCUCUCACCCGGUUGAACCAAUUACAGCCUAACUUCAACUCUAAUGACUUUUUUUUAUUUUAAAAAAAUACAAACACUUUGCAACAAUAAAAAUAAGCCAUUAACAAGGCUAAAUACAAUAAUUAGAACAAAAACACUUAAUCUAGAGCCAAAAUCAUAAUAUAUCCAUUUUAGUUCAAACCAAAAUUUAUCUAAUAAAUAUGAACCCACCACAUGCAAUUGGGUAAAAAUGAAGCAUGCUCUGAUACCACAUGAUAGAACUCAGUCAUGCACAGCGGAAAAAGAAUCGAAUUUCUACCCUAAUUGCCACAAUUAACAUGUAACCAUAAAACUAAUCAAAUUAGGGUUUUAAGAAAUAUUACCUUUGAAGCUUUCAAAAGGUUUGAUAUCUUCUUACCAAUUCUAACCGAGACCACCACUAGUACUUCAACUGCUGUCCUCUAGACAAAGAACCGGGUUGUGGGACCCAAUUUUGGUGUAGAAAGUAAUGGAGAUAAAAUGGGAUUGGAAGGUUUCUUUUUUUUUUCCUUUUGUUGAGAUGAUGAAAAUGAUAAAAGAGGCAAAAGUUCUUUAACAUUUGAAAACACCUCUAUUUAUAACUUAAUUACAUGCAAAAAUGCAUGCAAUUCAUUUGCCAAAUCUCAACACCUAAUGUUCCAUUAACAAUUAGUGGAACUAAGAGUUAGUGGGAUUAUCCAACAAAAUGUUGGAUUUUCCCACUAACUUAGUCCAAGGGUAAAAUGGUCAUUAGAUAUUUCUAGUCAAAAGUCAAACUUUGACUUUUCUUAGUCAAAAGUCAAAAGUCAACAUUUUGACUUUUUACUAUUUUUGACCAAUUCCAUCAAUUCCGAGUUUCUUAGUAUGAAUCCGCAUUCAUACUUAUAGUAUGUAAAACAUAAAGCUCUAUUUCUAAUUAGAAGAUCGACGACUAUAUCACUAUAUUUGUCGGUUUCCCUUUCUUCUUCCAAUUCGAACAAUUCGACUUAUUUCAUCACACUGUUCUAAGUUUAAUAUCCAUAUGAGCUAGCAGAGGAACCUGAUGGACCUAUAGAUCAUGGGCUCCAACGAUUCAAGAUUAACUAGCUAAACUCUUUUAAACCGAGUUAAUCAACAUUCGUUAACUAACGGGUCAUUCCACUAAAGUCCCGUAGUUGCACUCCCCUCACUAUAGAUAUACUUGUAUCCAUUGGAUAAAACCAUAAUCAGUAAGUUAAUCCUUCACAGGUUGCUCGUAACCUUGGUUGGGUCAAAAUACCGUUUUACCCCCAAUAUUACAUCUUGCUCCUUAAGUCCCACUAAUCCACUAUUGAACAAUUGGUUUAAGGUUCAACCUAUAAACUUAAUCCCUCUCUGGCCAAUGAGAGGGUGGGGCCCCUUGUUCAAGACUUGGAUUCAGUGCUUAAGAGAACAACCUAUCUACUAACCCUAAAGCGGGUAGGAGUGAAUUCCAUCUUGUACCCUAUGUUCCCAGCUAUCCACCCGAUCUUACCCCUGAUAUGGGAGGCUUAUUAGGCCAACGCUGAUGAGCUGCCCUCACCUAUGUAGAUCUAAGGAUAAUCUAGUGUGAUCAGGAGUUCAUAGUUAACUCAGGAUUAAGACUAAGUUACCUAGGUCAUCAAUAAUUGAGAUAGUCAGUUUUAACAGUAAACGGUGUUAUAACGUAAAAAAGACUAAUUCAUGGUUCAGUCUUAUGUAAACAUUUUACAUAGGAUGCCCCCACUUUCAUGUCUCUACAUGAACGAUUAGGAUCACCUCGUUUGUACUACAAAGUGGGCCGCAUCCAUAGUUUCUCUAAAUAAGGCGCCCAACCUUUAUUCAUAUACUAUAGACUAUUUAGGCUAUAUACUCGAACUUGAUCCACGUUUAUGUUUACACAUAAAGUUCAAGUUUAUUCAAAAAUAGCCUCGGAACUUGAUUUAUUGGAUUUAAAAUUAUAAUAUUUAAUUUCUCAAUAACAACUUUAUUGAACAGAAUAUGAUUUACAAACUACGAGUUUUAGGACAAAAAAUUCCAACACGGAGACCUCGAAAGUUCACGUCUAGCUACUGGGUGGUUCGAUUCUGAGUGGUCUCGAAGUUUCUUGCCCACAGAAGACGAACGGUGAUGCCCCAGACUCGGUUUCUUGGUUCCGUCCAAAACGUCGAAAGAAAGGCACAAUGGCUAGAAAGGAACGACCAGACUUAGAACGGAUCGGAGGCCUCAAAAGUUACACGUCUGGCUACUGGGUGGUCUCGAAGUUUCUUGCCCACAAAAGCCGAACGGUUAUGCCCCAGACUCGAUUUCUUGGUUCCGUCCCAAAACGCCGAAAGAAAGGCACAAUGGCCUAGAAAGGAACGACCGGACUUAGAACGAGGUCGGAGGCCUCGAAAGUUCAAGUCUAGCUACUGGGUGGUCUCGAAGUUUCUUGCCCACAAAAGCCGAACGGUAUGCCCCAGAAUCGGUUUCUUGGUUCCAUCCCAAAAUGCCGAAACAAAGGCACAAUGGCCUAAAAAGGAACGACCUGACUUAAAACGGGGUCGGAGGCCUCGAAAGUUCACGUCUGGCUACUAGGUGGUCCGAUUCUGAGUGGCCUCGAAGUUUCUUUCCCACAAAAGCCGAACGAUGAUGCCCCAGACUCGGUAUCUUGUUUCCGUCCCAAAACGCCGAAAGAAAGGCACAAUGGCCUAGAAAGGAACGACCGGACUUAGAACGGGGUCGGAGGCCUCGAAAGUUCACGUCUGGUGACUGGGUGGUCCGAUUCUCAGUGGUCUCGAAGUUUCUUGCCCCCAAAAGCCGAACGGUGAUGCCCCAGACUCGGUUUCUUGGUUCCGUCCCAAAACGCCGAAAGAAAGGCAGAAUGGCCUAGAAAGCAACGACCGGACUUAGAACGGGAUCGGAGGCCUCGAAAGUUCACGUCUGGCUACUGGGUGGUUCGAUUCUGAGUGGCCUCGAAGUUUCUUGCCCACAAAAGCCGAACGGUGAUGCCCCAGACUCUGUUUCUUGGUUCCGUCCCAAAACGUCGAAAGAAAGGCACAAUGGCCUAGAACGGAACGACCGGACUUAGAACGGGGUCGGAGGCCUUGAAAGUUCACGUCUGGCUACUGGGUGGGCCAAUUCUGAGUGGUCUCGAAGUUUCUUGGCCAAAAAAGCCGAACGGUGAUGCCCCAGACUUGGUUUCUUGGUUCCGUCCCAAAACGACGAAAAAAAGGCACAAUGGCCUAGAAAGGAACGACCGGACUUAGAACGGAAUCGUUGGCCUCGAAAGUUCACGUUCGACUACUAGGUGGUCCGAUUCAGAGUGGCCUCGAAGUUUCUUGCCCACAAAAGCCGAACGGUGAUGCACAGACUCGGUUUCUUGGUUCCGUCCCAAAACGCCGAAAGAAAGGCACAAUGGCCUAGAAAGGAACGACAGUACUUAGAACGGGGUCGGAGGCCUCGAAAGUUCACGUCUUGCUACUGGAUUGUCCGAUUCUGAGUGGCCUCGAAGUUUCUUGCCCACAAAAGCCAAACGGGUGAUGCCCCAGACUCGGUUUCUUGGUUCCGUCCCAAAACGUCGAAAGAAAGGCACAAUGGCCUAGAAAGGAACGACCGAACUUAGAACGAGGUCGGAGGCCUCGAAAGUACACGUCUGCCUACUGAGUGGUCCGAUUCUGAGUGGUCUCGAAGUUUCUUGCCCACAAAAGCUGAACGGUGAUGCCCCUGACUCGGUUUCUUGGUUCCGUCCCAAAACGCCGAAAGAAAGGCACAAUGGCCCAGAAAGGAACGAUCGAACUUAGAACGGAAUCGUUGGCCUCGAAAGUUCACGUUCGGCUACUGGGUGGUCCGAGUCUGAGUGGCCUCGAAGUUUCUUGCCCACAAAAACCGAACGGUGAUGCCCCAGACUCGGUUUCUUGGUUCCGUCCCAAAACGACGAAAGAAAGGCACGAUGGCCUAGAAAGGAACGACCGAACUUAGAACGAGGUCGGAGGCCUCGAAAGUACACGUCUACCUAAUGAGUGGUCCGAUUCUGAGUGGUCUAGAAGUUUCUUGCCCACAAAAGCUGAACGGUGAUGCCCCUGACUCGGUUUCUUGGUUCCGUCCUAAAACGCCGAAAGAAAGGCACAAUGGCCUAGAAAGGAAUGACCGGACUUAGAACGGAAUCGUUGGCCUCGAAAGUUCACGUUCGGCUACUGGGUGGUCCGAUUCUAAGUGGCCUCGAAGUUUCUUGCCCACAAAAGCCGAACGGUUAUGCCCCUGAAUCGGUUUCUUGGUUCCAUCCCAUAACGCCGAAAGAAAGGCACAAUGGCCUAGAAAGGAACGACCGGACUUAGAACGGGGUCGAAGGCCUCGAAAGUUCACGUCUAGCUACUAGGUGGUCUCGAAGUUUCUUGCCCACAAAAGCCGAACGGUGAUGCCCCAGACUCGGUUUAUUGGUUCCGUACCAAAACGCCGAAAGAAAGGCACAAUGGCCUAGAAAGGAACGACCAAACUUAAAACGGGGUCGAAGGCCUCGAAAGUUCACGUCUAGCUACUGGGUGGUCCAAUUCUGAGUGGUCUCGAAGUUUCUUGCCAACAAAAGCCGAACGGUGAUGCCCAAGACUCGGUUUCUUGGUUCCGUCCCAAAACGCCGAAAAAAAGGCACAAUGGCCUAGAAAGGAACGACCGUACUUAGAACGUGGUCGGAGGCCUCGAAAGUUCACGUCUUGCUACUUGGUGGUCUCGAAGUUUCUUGCCCACAAAAGCCGAACGGUUAUGCCCCAGACUCGGUUUCUUGGUUCCGUCUCAAAACGCCGAAAGAAAGGCACAAUGGCCUAGAAAGGAACGACAGGACUUAGAACGGGGUCGGUGGCCUCGAAAGUUCACGUAUUGCUACUUGGUGGUCUCGAAGUUUCUUGCCCACAAAAGCCGAACGGUUAUGCCCCAGAAUCGGUUUCUUGGUUCCAUCCCAUAACGCCGAAAGAAAGGCACAAUUGCCUAGAAAGGAACGACCGAACUUAGAACAGGGUCGAAGGCCUCGAAAGUUCACGUCUAGCUACUAGGUGGUCUCGAAGUUUCUUGCCCACAAAAGCCGAACGGUGAUGCCCCAGACUCGGUUUCUUGGUUCCGUCCCAAAACGCCGAAAGAAAGGCACAAUGGCCUAGGAAGGAACGAUCAGACUUAGAACGGGGUCGGAGGCCUCGAAAGUUCACGUCUAGCUACUGGGUGGUCUGACUCUGAGUGGUCUUGAAUUUUCUUGCCUACAAAAGCCGAACGGUGAUGCCCGAGACUCGGUUUCUUGGUUCCGUCCCAAAACGCCGAAAGAAAGGCACAAUGGCCUAGAAAGGAACGACCGGACAUAGAACGGGGUAGGAGGCCUCGAAAGUUCACGUUUGGCUAGUGGGUUGUCUGAUUCUGAGUGGUCUCGAUGUUUCUUGCCCACAAAAGCCAAACGGUGAUGCCCAAACUCGGUUUCUUGGUUCCGUCCCAAAACGACAAAAGAAAGGCACAAUGGCCUAGAAAGGAACGACCGGACUUAGAACGGGGUCGGAGGCCUCAAAAGUUCACGUCUGGCUACUGGGUCGUCUGAUUCUGAGUGAUCUCGAAGUUUCUUGCCCACAAAAGCCGAACGGUGAUGCCCCAGACUCGGUUUCUUGGUUCCGUCCCAAAACGGCAAAAGAAAGGCACAAUGGCCUAGAAACAAACGACCAGACUUAGAACGGGGUCGAAGGCCUCGAAAGUUCACGUCUAGCUACUGGGUGGUCUCGAAGUUUCUUGCCCACAAAAGUCGAACGGUGAUGCCCAAGACUCGGUUUCUUGGUUCCGUCCAAAAACGCCGAAAGAAAGGCAUAAUGAUCUAGAAAGGAACGACCAGACUUAGAACGAUGCCGGAGGCCUCGAAAUUCACGUCUAGCUAAUAGGUGGUCUCGAAGUUUCUUGCCCACAAAAGCCGAACGGUGAUGCCCCAGACUCAGUUUCUUGGUUCCGUCCCAAAACGGCAAAAGAAAGGCACAAUGGCCUAGAAACAAACGACCAGACUUAGAACGGGGUCGAAGUCGAAAGUUCACGUCUAGCUACUGGUGGUCUCGAAGUUUCUUGCCCACAAAAGUCGAACGGUGAUGCCCCAGACUCGUUUCUUGUUCCGUCCAAAAAAACGCCGAAAGAAAGAAAGGCAUAAUGAUCUAGAAAGGAACGACCAGACUUAGAACGGGGCCGGAGGCCUCGAAAGUUCACGUCUAGCUAAUAGGUGGUCUCGAAGUUUCUUGCCCACAAAAGCCGAACGGUGAUGCGCCAGACUCGGUUUCUUGGUUCCGUCCAAAAACGGCAAAAGAAAGGCACAAUGGCCUAGAAACAAACGACCAGACUUAGAACGGGGUCGAAGGCCUCGAAAGUUCACGUCUAGCUACUGGGUGGUCCGAUUCUGAGUGGUCUCGAAGUUUCUUGCCCACAAAUGCCGAACGGUGAAGCCCCAGGCUCGGUUUCUUGGUUCCGUCCCAAAACGCCGAAAGAAAGGCACAAUGGCCUAGAAAGGAACGACCGGAUUUGGAACGGGGUCGGAGGCCUCGAAAGUUCACGUCUAGCUAUUAGGUGGUCCGAUUCUGAGUGGUCUCGAAGUUUCUUACCCACAAAACCCGAACGAUGAUGCCCCAAACUCGGUUUCUUGGUUCUGUCCCAAAACGCCAAAACAAAGUCACAAUGGCCUAGAAAGGAACAACCGGACUUAGAACGGGGUCGGAGGAUUCGAAAGUUCACGUCUGGCUACUGGGUGGUCCGAUUCUGAGUGGUCUCAAAGUUUCUUGCCCACAAAAGCCGAACGGUGAUGCCCCAGACUCGGUUUCUUGGUUCCGUCCCAAAACGCCGAAACAAAGGCACAAUUGCCUAGAAAGGAACGACCGGACUUGGAACUGGGUCGGAGGCCUCGAAAGUUCACGUCCACCUACUGGGUGGUCCGAUUCUGAGUGGUCUCGAAGUUUCUUGCCCACAAAAGCCGAACGGUGAUGCCCUAGACUCGGUUUCUUGGUUCCGUUCCAAAACGCCAAAAGAAAGGCACAAUGGCCUAGAAAGGAACGACCGAACUUGGAACGGGGUCGGAGGCCUCGAAUGUUCACGUCUUGCUACUGGGUAGUCCGAUUCUUAGUGGUCUCGAAAUUUCUUCCCAAAAAAGCCGAACGGUGAUGUCCCAGACUCGGUUUCCUGGUUUCGUCCCAAAACGCCGAAAGAAAUGCACAAUGACCUAGAAAGGAACGACCGGACUUGGAACGGGGUCGGAGGCCUCGAAAGUUCACGUCUGGCUACUAGGUGGUCCAAUUUUGAGUGGUUUCAAAGUUUCUUUCCCACAAAAGCCGAACGGUGAUGCCCAGACUCGGUUUCUUGGUUCCGUCCCGAAAUGCCGAAAGAAAGGCACAAUGGCCUAGAAAGGAACGACCGGACAUGGAACGGGGUCGGAGGCCUCGAAAGUUCACGUCUGGCUACUGGGUGGUCCGAUUCUGAGUGGUCUCGAAGUUUCUUGCCCACAAAAGCCGAACGGUGAUGCCCAGACUCGGUUUCCUGGUUGUGUCCCAAAACGCCGAAAGAAAGGCACAAUGGCCUAGAAAGGAACGACCGGACUUAGAACGGGGUCGGAGGCCUCGAAAGUUCACGUCUGGCUACUCGGUGGUCCGAUUCUUAGUGGUCUCAAAAUUUCUUCCCACAAAAGCCGAACGCUGAUUUCCCAGACUCAGUUUCCUGGUUCCGUCCCAAAACGCCAAAAGAAAGGCACAAUGGCCUAGAAAGGAACGACCGGACUUAGAACGGGGUCGGAGGCCUCGAAAGUUCACGUCUUGCUACGUGGUGGUCCGAUUCUUAGUGGUCUCGAAAUUUCUUCCCAAAAAAGCCGAACGGUGAUGUCCCAGACUCGGUUUCCUGGUUUCGUCCCAAAACGCCGAAAGAAAGGGACAAUGGCCUAGAAAGGAAAGACCGGACUUAGAACGGGGUCGGAGGCCUCGAAAGUUCACGUCUUGCUACUUGGUGGUCCGAUUCUUAGUGGUCUCGAAAUUUCUUCCCACAAAAGCCGAACGGUGAUGUCCCAGACUCGGUUUCCUGGUUUCGUCCCAAAACGCCGAAAGAAAGGCACAAUGGCCUAGAAAGGAACGACCGGACUUGGAACGGGGUCGGAGGCCUCGAAAGUUCACGUCUAGCUACUGGGUGGUCCGAUUCUGAGUGGUCUCGAAGUUUCUUGGGCACAAAAGCCGAACGGUGAUGCCUUAGACUCGGUUUCCUCGUUCCGUCCCAAAACGCCGAAACAAAGGCACAAUGGCCUAAAAAGAAACGACCGGACUUAGAACGGGGUCAGAGGCCUCGAAAGUUCACGUCUGGCUACUGGGUGGUCCUAUUCUGAGUGGUCUCGAAGUUUCUUGCCCACAAAAGCCGAACUGUGAUGCCCCAGACUCGGUUUCUUGGUUGCCUCCCAAAACGCCGAAAGAAAGGCACAUUGGCCUAGAAAGGAACGACCGGACUUAGAAUGGGGUCAGAGGCCUCGAAAGUUCACGUCUGGCUAAUGGGUGGUCCUAUUCUUAGUGGUCUCGAAGUUUCUUGCCCACAAAAGCCGAACGGUGAUGCCCCAGACUCGAUUUCUUGGUUCUGUCCCAAAACGUCGAAAGAAAGGCACAAUGGCCUAGAAAGGAACGACCGGACUUAGAACGGGGUCGGAGGCCUCGAAAGUUCAUGUCUAGCUACUGGGUGGUCCGAUUCUGAGUGGUCUUGAAGUUUCUUGCCCACAAAAGCCGAACGGUGAUGCUCCAGACUGGGUUUCUUUGUUCCGUCCCAAAACACCAAAAGAAAGUCACAGUGGCUUGGAAAGGAACGACCGGACUUAGAACGGGGUCGGCGACCUCGAAAGUUCACGUCUAGCUACUGGGUGGUCUGAUUCUGAGUGGUCUCGAAGUUUCUUACCCACAAAAGCCGAACGGUGAUGCUCUAGACUCGAUUUCUUGGUUGGGUCCCAAAACGCAUAAAGAAAUGCACAGUGGCCUAGAAAGGAACGACCGGACUUAGAACGGGGUCGACAGCCUCGAAAGUUCACGUCUAGCUACUGGGUGGUCCGAUUCUGAGUGGUCCUGAAGUUUCUUGCCCACAAAAGUCGAACAGUGAUGCCCCAGACUCGGUUUCUUGGUUCCGUCCGAAAACGCCGAAAGAAAGGCACAGUGGCCUAGAAAGGAACGACCGGCUUAGAACGUGGUCAGCGGCCUCGAAAGUUCACGUCUAGCUACUGGGUGGUCUCGAAGUUUCUUGCCCAUAAAAACCAAACGGUGAUGCCCCAGACUCGGUUUCUUAGUUCGUCCAAAACGAAAGAAAGGCACAGUGGCCUGGAAAGGAACGACCGGACUUAGAACGGGGUCGGCGACCUCGAAAGUUCACGUCUAGCUACUGGGUGGUCCGAUUGUGAGUGGUCUUGAAGUUUCUUGCCCACAAAAGCCGAACGGUGAUGCCCAGACUGGGUUUCUUGGGUCCGUCCAAAACGCCGAAAGAAAGGCACAGUGGCCUAGAAAGGAACGACCGGACUUAGAACGGGGUCGGCAGCCUCGAAAGUUCACGUCUAGCUACUGGGUGGUCCGAUUCUGAGUGGUCUCAAAGUUUCUUGCCCACAAAAGCCGAACGGUGAUGCCCAGACUCGGUUUCUUGGUUGUCCCAAAACGCCGAAAGAAAGGCACAUGGCCUAGAAAGGAACGACCGGACUUAGAACGGGUCAGGCGACCUCGAAAGUUCACGUCUAGCUACUGGUGGUCCGAUUCUGAGUGGUCUCGAAGUUUCUUGCCCACAAAAGCCGAACGGUGAUGCCCAGACUCGGUUUCUUGGUUCCGUCCCAAAACGCCGAAAGAAAGGCACAGUGGCUAGAAAGGAACGACCGGACUUAGAACGGGGUCGGCGGCCUCGAAAGUUCACGUCUAGCUACUGGGUGGUCCGAUUCUGAGUGGUCUCGAAGUUUCUUGCCCACAAAAGCCGAACGGUGAUGCCCAGACUCGGUUUCUUGGUUCCGUCCCAAAACGCCGAAAGAAAGGCACAGUGCCUAGAAAGGAACGACCGGACUUAGAACGGGGUCAGGCCUCGAAAGUUCACGUCUAGCUACUGGUGGUCUCGAAAGUUUCUUGCCCACAAAAGCCGAACGGUGAUGCCCUAGACUCGGUUUCUUGGUUGCGUCCCAAAACGCCGAAAGAAAGGCACAGUGGCCUAGAAAGGAACGACCGGACUUAGAACGGGGUAGGCGACUCGAAAGUUCACGUCUAGCUACUGGGUGGUCCGAUUCUGAGUGGUCUCGAAGUUUCUUGCCCACAAAAGCCGAACGGUGAUGCCCAGACUCGGUUUCUUGGUUCCGUCCAAAACGCCGAAAGAAAGGCACAAUGGCCUGGAAAGGAACGACCGGACUUAGAACGGGGUCGGCGGCCUCGAAAGUUCACGUCUAGCUACUGGGUGGUCGAUUCUGAGUGGUCUCGAAGUUUCUUGCCCACAAAAGCCGAACGGUGAUGCCCAGACUCGGUUUCUUGGUUCCGUCCCAAAACGCCGAAAGAAAGGACAAUGGCCUAGAAAGGAACGACCGGACUUAGAACGGGGUCGGAGGCCUCGAAAGUUCACGUCUAGCUACUGGUGGUCGAUUCUGAGUGGUCUCGAAGUUUCUUGCCCACAAAAGCCGAACGGUGAUGCCCCAGACUCGGUUUCUUGGUUCCGUCCCAAAACUCCGAAAGAAAGGCACAAUGGCCUGAAAGGAACGACUCGACUUAGAACGGGUCGGCACCUCGAAAGUUCACGUCUAGCUACUGGGUGGUUCGAUUCUGAGUGGUCUCGAAGUUUCUUGCCCACAAAAGCCGAACGGUGAUGCCCCAGACUCGGUUUCUUGGUUCCGUCCCAAAACGCCGAAAGAAAGGCACAGUGCCUAGAAAGGAACGAUCGGACUUAGAACCGGGGUCAGGCCUCGAAAGUUCACGCUAGCUACUGGCGUGGUCUCGAAGUUUCUUGCCCACAAAAGCCGAACGGUGAUGCCCCAGACUCGGUUUCUUGGUUCCGACCCAAAACGCCGAAAGAAAGCCACGGUUGCCUGGAAAGGAACAACCGGACUGAGAACGGGGUCGGCGACCUCGAAAGUUCACGUCUAGCUACUGGGUGGUCCGAUUCUGAGUGGUCUCGAAGUUUCUUGCCCACAAAAGCCAAACGGGGAUGCUCCAGACUCGAUUUCUUGGUUGCGUCCCAAAACGCCGAAAGAAAGAAACAAUGGCCUAGAAAGGAACGACCAAACUUAGAACGGGGUCAGCGGCCUCGAAAGUUCACGUCUAGCUACUGGUUGGUCUCGAAGUUUCUUGCCCACAAAAGCCGAACGGUGAUGCCCCAGACUCGGUUUCUUAGUUGCGUCCCAAAAUGCCGAAAGAAAGGCACAGUGGCCUUGAAAGGAACGACCGGACUUAGAACGGGGUCGGGCGACCUCGAAAGUUCACGUCUAGCUACUGGGUGGUCCGACUCUGAGUGGUCUCGAAGUUUCUUGCCCACAAAAGCCGAACGGUGAUGCCCCCAGACUCGGUUUCUUGGUUCCGUCCCAAAACGCCGAAAGAAAGGCACAAUGGCCUGGAAAAGAACGACUCGACUUAGAACGGGGUCGGCGACCUCGAAAGUUCACGUCUAGCUACUGGGUGGUUCGAUUCUUAGUGGUCUCGAAGUUUCUUGCCCACAAAAGCCGAACGGUGAUGCCCCAGACUCGGUUUCUUGGUCUCGUCCCAAAACGCCGAAAGAAAGGCACAAUGGCCUGGAAAGGAACGACCGGACUUAGAACGGGGUCGGCGACCUCGAAAGUUCACGUCUAGCUACUGGGUGGUUCGAUUCUGAGUGGUCUCGAAAUUUCUUGCCCACAAAAGCCGAACGGUGAUGCCCCAGACUCGGUUUCUUGGUUCCGUCCCAAAACGCCGAAAGAAAGGCACAGUUGCCUAGAAAGGAACGACCGGACUUAGAACGGGGUCAGCGGCCUCGAAAGUUCACGGCUAGCUACUGGGUGGUCUCGAAGUUUCUUGCCCACAAAAGCCGAACGGUGAUGCCCCAGACUCGGUUUCUUGGUUCCGACCCAAAACGCCGAAAGAAAGCCAUAGUGGCCUGGAAAGGAACGACCGGACAGAGAACGGGGUCGGCGACCUUGAAAGUUCACGUCUAGCUACUGGGUGGUCCGAUUCUGAGUGGUCUCGAAGUUUCUUGCCCACAAAAGCCAAACGGGGAUGCUCCAGACUCGAUUUCUUGGUGGCGUCCCAAAACGCCGAAAGAAAGGCACAAUGGCCUAGAAAGCAACGACCAGACUUAGAACGGGGUCGGCGGCCUCGAAAGUUCACGUCUAGCUACUGUGUGGUCCGAUUCUGAGUGGUCUCGAAGUUUCUUGCCCACAAAAACCUAACGGUGAUGCCCCAGACUCGGUUUCUUGGUUCCGUCUCAAAACGCUGAAAGAAAGGCACAGUGGCCUGGAAAGGAACGACCAGACUUAGAACGGGGUCGGCGACCUCGAAAGUUCACGUCUAGCUACUGGGUGGUCCGAUUCUUAGUGGUCUCAAAGGUUCUUGCCCACAAAAGCUGAACGGUGAUGCCCCAGACUCGGUUUCUUGGUUGCGUCCCAAAUCGCCGAAAGAAAGACACAUUGGCCUAGAAAGGAACGACCGGGCUUAGAACGUGGUCAGCGGCCUUGAAAGUUCUCGUCUAGCUACUGGGUGGUCCGAUUCUGAGUGGUCUCGAAGUUUCUUGCCCACAAAAGCCGAACGGUGAUGCCCAAACUCGGUUUCUUGGUGCCGACCCAAAACACCGAAAGAAAGGCACAGUGGCCUAGAAAGGAACGACCGGACUUAGAACGGGGUCGGCGGCCUCGAAAGUUCACGUCUAGCUAUUGGGUGGUCCAAUUCUGAGUGGUCUCGAGGUUUCUUGCCCACAAAAGCCGAACGGUGAUGCCCCAGACUCGAUGUCUUGGUUCCGACCCAAAACGCCGAAAGAAAGGCACAGUGGCCUGGAAAGGAACGACCGGACUUAGAACGGGGUCGGAGGCCUCGAAAGUUCACAUCUAGCUACUUGGUGGUCUCGAAGUUUCUUGCCCACAAAAGCCAAACGGUGAUGCCCCAGACUCGAUUUCUUGGUUCCGUCCCAAAACGCCGAAAGAAAGGCACAAUGGCCCAGAAAGGAACGACCGGACUUAGAACAGGGUCGGAGGCCUCAAAAGUUCACGUCUAGCUACUGGGUGGUCCGAUUCUCAGUGGUCUCAAAGUUUCUUGCCCACAAAAGCCAAACGGUGAUGCCCUAGACUCGGUUUCUUGGUUCAUUUCAAUAAAGUUGUUAUUGAGAAAUUAAAUAUUAUAAUCUUAAAUCCAAUAAAUCAAGUUCCAAGGCUAUUUUUGAAUAAACUUGAACUUUAUGUGUAAACAUAAACGUGGAUCAAGUUCGAUAUAUAGCCUAAAUAGUCUAUAGUAUAUGAAAUAAAGGUUGGGCGCCUUAUUUAGAGAAACUAUGGAUGCGACCCACUUUGUAGUACAAACGAAGUGAUCCUAAUCGUUCAUGUAGAGACAUGAAAGUGGGGGCAUCCUAUGUAAAAUAUUUAGAUAAGACUGAACCAUGAAUUAGUCUUUUUUACGUUAUAACACCGUUUACAGUUUAAAACUGACUAUCUCAAUUAUUGAUGACCUAGGUAACUUAGUCUUAAUCCUGAGUUAACUAUGAACUCCUGUUCACACGAGAUUAUCCUUAGAUCUGCAUAGGUGAGGGCAGCUCAUCAGCGUUGGCCCAAUAAGCUUCCCAUUUCAGGGGUAACAUCAGGUGGAUAGCUGGGAACAUAGGGUACAAGAUGGAAUUCACUCCUACCCGCUUUUGGGUUAGUAGAUAGGUUGUUCUCUUAAGCACUGAAUCCAAGUCUUGAACAAGGGGCCCCACCCUCUCAUUGGCCCGAGAGGGAUUAAGUUUAUAGGUGAACCUUAAACCAAUUGUUCAAUAGUGGAUUAGUGGGACUUAAGGAGCAAGAUGUAAUCUUGGGGUAAAACGGUAUUUUGACCCAGCCAAGGUUACGAGCAACCUGUGAAGGAUUAACUUACUUAUUCUGGUUUUAUCAAAUGGACACAAAUAUAUCUAUAGUGAGGGGAGUGCAACUACGGGACUUUAGUGGAAUGACCCGUUAGUUAACGAAUGUUGAUUAACUCGGUUUAAAAGAGUUUAGCUAGUUAAUCUUGAAUCGUUGGAGCCCAUGAUCUAUAGGUCCAUUAGGUUCCUCUACUUGCACAUAUGGAUUAAACUUAGAACAGUGUGAUGAAAUAAAUUGGGAGAAGAAAGGGAAACCGACAAAUAUAGUGAUAUAGUCGUCGGUCUUCUAAUUAGAAAUAGAGCUUUAUGUUUUACAUACUAUAAGUAUGAAUGCGGAUUCAUACUAAGAAGCUCAGAAUUGAUGGAAUUGGUCAAAAACUAGUAAAAAGUCAAAAUGUUGACUUUUGACUUUGAAAAGUCAAACUUUGACCGGCCUUAUAUUCAAAUGUGUUUUGAAUAUUGGAAAAAUGAAUGCGGAUUCAUGCUCGGGAGGUUGGAAUUAGUCAAGACGGACAAAAUGGUAAAAAGUCAAAAUAUUGACUUUUGACUAAGAAAAGUAAAGUUUGACUUUUGACUAGAAAUAUCUAAUGACCAUUUUACCCUUGGACUAAGUUAGUGGGAAAAUCCAACAUUUUGUUGGAUAAUCCCACUAACUCUUAGUGGGAUAUGUGGCUAUAUGAGAUAUAGACACCUAGCCCACUAAGUUCCACUAAUUGUUAGUGGAACGGUAGGUGUUGAGAUUUGGCAAAUGAAUUGCAUGCAUUUUUGCAUGUAAUUAGGUUAUAAAUAGAGGUGUUUUCAAAUGUUGAAAAGACUUUUGCCUCUUUUAUCAUUUUCAUCAUCUCAACAAAAGAAAAAAAAACUUCCAAUCCCAUUUUAUCUCCAUUUCUUUCUACACCAAAAUUGGGUCCCACAACCCGGUUCUUUGUCUAGAGGAUAGCAGUUGAGUACUAGUGGUGGUCUCGGUUAGAAUUGGUAAGAAGAUAUCAAACCUUUUGAAAGCUUCAAAGGUAAUAUUUCUUAAAACCCUAAUUUGAUUAGUUUAUGGUUACAUGUUAAUUGUGGCAAUUAGGGUAGAAAUUCGAUUCUUUUUCCGCUGUGCAUGACUUAGUUCUUUCAUGUGGUAUCAGAGCAUGCUUCAUUUUUACCCAAUUGCAUGUGGUGGGUUCAUAUUCAUAUUUAUUAGAUAAAUUUUGGUUUGAACUAAAAUGGAUAUAUUAUGAUUUUGGCUCUAGAAAGUGUUUUUUGUUCUAAUUAUUGUAAUUAGCCUUGUUAAUGGCUUAUUUUUAUUUUGCAAAGUGUUUGUAAUUUUUUUAAAAAAAAAAAAUCAUUAGAGUUGAAGUAGGCUGUAACUGGUUCAACCGGGUGAGAGAAUUGAAAAUAAUGAAGAAAAGAAGGUCACAGACCCGAAAACCCGCCUUGACCCGCUUCGCGACCCUCCUGCGCCCGCCUACGCCCGACCCGUGUGCGCCUAGGCCUGUUUAGUUAAUUGGGCCGGUUAAGCCAAUAAAUUUGGUUUUUGGGCCGGUUCAAGCGGUUUCGGUUGGUUUUUCAGCCGGUUCGAAGUUUUUGGGAGUGGUUCUGUACUACACCAAUUUAAUUAUGUAAUAAUUUAGUAGUUAGCUUAAUUUAGGAGCCAAAAAUCAGUCAAUUUUAGGGUGUUUUUUAUUUAUUUAUGCAUGUGAUGUAUGAUUAAAUUACUUUAAAUUUGUAUGUGCAUUUUGAAUGUCAUAUAGAUUUAAAAUCCCACCAUAUGUUAACAUGUUCAUGCAUUAAAAUGUAUGAUAUAAAGGUUAUAUUGUAUUAUAUGCAUGUUAAUUGAUUAAUAUGGAAAUUAAUUAAUAUGAUUAAUAAUUAUUUAAUUAAUAAGUUAUUCUUGAUUAAAUAUGAUUUAAUCAAUUAAUUAAUUAUUGUUUGAUUUAAUUUAAUUAAAUAUGAUUUAAUCAAAAAUUAAUUAUUGUUUGAUUUAAUUUAAUUAAAUAUGAUUUAAUCAAAUUAAUUAAUUAUUGUUUGAUUUAAUUUAAUUAAAUAUGAUUUAAUUAAAGUUAAAUAAAUUAAAAUCCAUAUUAAUUGAUUGUUUUUAUAAGGUUAUAUAUUAAAAUGAUUGAUUAAGUCUAAAAAAUUUUAUAAGUGUUAUAAAAUAAAUUAGACUUUUAAAAUCAAUAACAAAGAUUAAAUGCAUGCUCACUUAGGUUAAACAUAUCUUCCAUUUUUCAUAGAAAUAGGUCGAUAUCUUGUAAAACUGGUUACAAAAGGCUCACCUGGUUCAAUCUUGUCAACAAGUCAGAUAAGAUGACUAAGGUUGGAGGUUCUUAAGUUGACGGUUUACGGAACACCUCCUACCUGGAGAUCGUAAUUAGUUCUUGAGCUAGUUAACCUAGUUUUAUGAGCAUUCGUGAGAGGUGUGAGGUAAUAAAAAUGGUUUAUCACCUAGACAUCAUAGGUUAAAAUCCUGUAUAAUGGUUAUACUUGGAUGUUUUAUCUAGACUUAAGAUUUGUUUAAGUUAGCCUAAAUAUAAAUCUUGAAGCUUGGAUACCCUAUUUUUUUCUUUAGAACACUUCAACUAGAGAAAAAUAAUGUAUUUUAGCUCUAGUGUCCCUAAGAGUUCACACCGUGAGGUCCAUGCAGGGCUUUGUGCCGUGCAUAGGAGCGCGCCUCCCUUCAGAGAGUGUUUGCAUGGAUCAAAAUCAAGGUGAAUAGGGGAAGUAGUUCAUAGUAAGUGGGUGAGGGAUUUGUGGCAGCACAUCCCACGGUCUCUUCCAUUAGAUCGCACCGUGAGAUUUCUAUAAUAUGCUACUUGUCUGCCUGGAGCGACGUUCCCUUCGGAGGUUGUAUUAUAGGAUUCGGAACACCGUAACUCCAAAUCUGGAUAGGUUUCUUAGAUUAGUUUUCAUAAAUGAUUCUAAUCUAUGAAAUCUGAAAAUGGUGGGUAACACUUACAAGAAUUACUAAGUUGUUAGUAUAUUCUUGACUAAAGUAGUGAUAACUAAGUGCUAUAAAGAAUAAGCAGUUAUUCAAGAGAUAGCAUCUAGUCAAGAUUGUCUUGGUUCAAAGGAGGAAUAAUCAACUACCUUCGGAGAAGGUUGUUCUAAACCUUGAAAUAUUGUUGCAAAAUACAAAUAAUGAAAGGGUACAUUAUUAGUAAUUGCUAAAUUAGAUUGGAUAUUUUUUAUGAUUAUAGUUUUUUUCCUAAAAAAAAUAUGUUUGUUUUUCAGCAUGAAUAGCUCAAUAGUUCAACUUUUAGCUUCCGAAAAACUUAAUGGCGAUAAUUAUACGGCUUGGAAAUCAAAUCUUAAACAAUACUAGUGGUUGACGAUUUAAGAUUUUCUUAACUGAGGAAUGUUCUCAAAACCCUGCCUCUAAUGCUAACCGAACUAGUCGGGAUGCAUAUGAUCGAUGGAUAGAUAAAAGCUAAUGAAAAAGCCCGUGUCUACAUUCUUGCCAGCAUGUAUGAUGUAUUGGCAAAGAAACAUGAAUCGUUAGCCACGGCUAAAGAGAUUAUGGAUUCAUUAAGGGGAAUGUUUGGGCAACCAGAAUGGUCCUUAAGACACGAGGCAGUCAAAUACAUUUACACUAAGUGUAUGAAGGAAGGGACCUCUUUUAGAGAACAUGUUCUGGACAUGAUGAUGCACUUCAACAUCGCUGAAGUGAAUGGUGGUCCCAUCGAAGAGGUUAAUCAAGUUAGUUUUAUCUUAGAGUCUCUUUCGAAGAGCUUCAUUCCAUUCCAAACGAAUGCGUCUUUGAACAAGAUAGAAUUUAACUUGACAACCCUUCUGAAUGAACUCGCGAUUCCAAAACCUUACUAUGGGUAAAGGAAAACAAGUGGAAGCAAAUGUUGCUACCACAAAAAGAAAAUUUAUAAGAGGAUCGUCCUCUAAAACCAAAGCUGGACCCUCAAAACCUAAUGCUCAAAUAAAAAGAAGGGAAAGGGAAAGACUCCCAAACAGAACAAGGAUAAGAAAGGUGCAGAAAAAGGUAAGUGUUACCAUUGUGGCCAAAAACGGGCACUGGUUAAGAAACUGCCCAAAAUACCUUGCAGAAAAAAAGGCAGAGAAGGAACACAAGGUAAAUAUGAUUUACUAGUUGUAGAAACAUGUUUAGUGGAACAUGAAAAUUGUACCUGGAUACUAGAUUCAGGAGCCACUAACAUAUUUGCUUCUCAUUUCAGGAAAAUAGUUCUUGAAAAAGCUUUCAGAAGGCGAGAUCACUCUCAAGGUUGGAACAGGAGAGAUGGUCUCACUUCAGCAGUGGGAGAUUUAAAGUUGUUUUUUAGAGAUAGAUAUGUCAUACUUAAGAAUGUCUUAUAUGUACCUCAAAUGAAAAGAAAUUUAAUAUCUAUCUCUUGUAUUUUGGAACAAAUGUAUAGAAUAUCUUUUGAAAUUAAUGAAGCGUUCGUUUUCUAUAAAGGUAUUCUAGUUUGUUCUGCUAUACUUGAAGACAACUUAUAUAAGUUAAGACCAACCAAAGCAAAUUUUGUCUUAAAUACUUAAAUAUUCAGAACAGCUGAAACUCAGAAUAAAAGACAAAAAGUUUCUUCUAAUACCUAUUUAUGGCACUUAAGACUUGGUCACAUAAAUCUCAAUAGGAUUAGGAGAUUAGUUAAAAGUGGGCUUCUAAGUCAGUUAGAAAAUAACACAUUACCUCCUUGAGAAUCUUGUCUUGAAGGAAAAAUGACCAAGAGAUCUUUUACUGGAAAAGGUCUAAGAGCCAAAGGACCCUUAGAGCUCGUACAUUCGGACCUUUGUGGACCAAUGAAUGUCAAAGCUCGAGGUGGAUAUGAAUAUUUCAUUAGCUUCAUUGAUGAUUAUUCAAGGUAUGGUCAUAUUUACCUAAUACAUCGUAAGUCUAAUAGUCUUGAAAAGUUCAACGAAUAUAAGGCUGAAGUAGAAAACGAAUUAGGUAAAACAAUAAAAAAUACUUCGAUCAGAUCGAGGUGGAGAGUAUAUGGACUUACGAUUCCGAGACUAUUUAAUAGAAAAUGGAAUUCAGUCACAACUCUCUUCACCUAGUACACCUCAACAGAACGGUGUAUCAGAAAGAAGAAACCGGACCUUGUUAGACAUGGUUCGCUCUAUGAUGAGUUUUUCUCAGAUGCCAGAUUCUUUUUGGGGAUAUGCUUUAGAAACAGCUGUUUAUAUUUUGAAUAAUGUUCCCUCUAAAAGUGUUUCAGAAACACCUUAUGAGCUAUGGAAAGGGCGUAAAGGAAGUUUACGUCGUUUUAGAAUUUGGGGUUGUCCAGCACAUGUGUUGGUACAAAAUCCUAAGAAGUUGGAACAUCGUUCAAAAUUAUGCUUUUUCAUAGGUUAUCCAAAAGAAUCAAGAGGUGGUUUGUUUUAUGAUCCUCAAGAAAAUAAAAUAUUUGUGUCAACAAAUGCCACAUUCUUAGAGGAAGACCACAUCAGGGAUCAUCAACCUCGUAGUAAACUAUAGUAUUAAAAGAAAUUUCCAAAAGUGCUAUAGAUAAACCUAGUUCAUCCACUAAGGUAGUUGAUAAGACUAGGAAAUCUGGUCAAUCACAUCCUUCUCAACAAUUGAGAGAGCCUCGACGUAGUGGGAGGGUUGUUCAACAGUCUAAUGCGGAUUCAUGCUCGGGAGGUUGGAAUUAGUCAAGACAGACAAAAUGGUAAAAAGUCAAAAUAUUGACUUUUGACUAAGAAAAGUCAAAGUUUGACUUUGGACUAGAAAUAUCUAAUGACCAUUUUACCCUUGGACUAAGUUAGUGGGAAAAUCCAACAUUUUGUUGGAUAAUCCCACUAACUCUUAGUGAGAUAUGUGGCUAUAUGAGAUAUAGACACCUAGCCCACUAAGUUCCACUAAUUGUUAGUGGAACGGUAGGUGUUGAGAUUUGGCAAAUGAAUUGCAUGCAUUUUUGCAUGUAAUUAGGUUAUAAAUAGAGGUGUUUUCAAAUGUUGAAAAGACUUUUGCCUCUUUUAUCAUUUUCAUCAUCUCAACAAAAGAAAAAAAAACCUUCCAAUCCUAUUUUAUCUCCAUUUCUUUCUACACCAAAGUUGGGUCCCACAACCCGGUUCUUUGUCUAGAGGAUAGCAGUUGAGUACUAGUGGUGGUCUCGGUUAGAAUUGGUAAGAAGAUAUCAAACCUUUUGAAAGCUUCAAAGGUAAUAUUUCUUAAAACCCUAAUUUGAUUAGUUUAUGGUUACAUGUUAAUUGUGGCAAUUAGGGUAGAAAUUCGAUUCUUUUUCCGCUCUGCAUGACUUAGUUCUUUCAGGUUUCGUCCCAAAACGCAGAAAGAAAGGCACAAUGGCCUAGAAAGGAACGACCGGACUUAGAGCGGGGUCGAAGGCCUCGAAAGUUCACGUCUAGCUACUGGGUGGUCCGAUUCUGAGUGGUCUCGAAGUUUCUUGCCCACAAAAGCCGAACGAUGAUGCCCCAGACUGAGUUUCUUCGUUCCGUCCCAAAACGCCGAAAGAAAGGCACAAUGGCUUAGAAAGGAACGACCGGACUUAGAACGGGGUCGGAGGCCUCGAAAGUUCACGUAUGGCUACAAGGUGGUCCGAUUCUGAGUGGUCUCGAAGUUUCUUGCCCACAAAAGACGAACGGUGAUUCCCCAGACUCGGUUUCUUGGUUCGUCCCAAAACGCCGAAAGAAAGGCACAAUGGCCUAGAAAGGAACGACCGGACUUAGAACGGGGUCGGAGGCCUCGAAAGUUCACGUCUGGCUACUGGGUGGUCCGAUUCUAAGUGGUCUCGAAGUUUCUUGCCCACAAAAGCCGAACGGUGAUGCCCAGACUCGAUUUCUUGGUUCAGUCCCAAAACGCCGAAAGAAAGGCACAAUGGCCUAGAAAGGAACGAUCGGACAUAGAACGGGUUCGGAGGCCUCGAAAGUUCACGUCUGGCUACUGGGUGGUCCGAUUUUUAGUGGUAUCAAAGUUUCUUGCCAACAAAAGCCGAACGGUGAUGCCCAGACUCGGUUUCUUGGUUCCGUCCCAAAACGCCGAAAGAAAGGCACAAUGGCCUAGAAAGAAACGAUCGGACAUAGAACGGGGUCGGAGGCCUCGAAAGUUCACGUCUAGCUACUGGGUGGACCGAUUCUUAGUGGUAUCAAAGUUUCUUGCCCACAAAAGCCGAACGUUGAUUCCCAGACUCGGUUUCUUGGUUCCGUCCCAAAACGCCGAAAGAAAGGCACAAUGGCCUAGAAAGGAACGACCGGACUUAGAACGGGUCGGAGGCCUCGAAAGUUCACGUCUGGCUACUGGGUGGUCCGAUUCUGAGUGGUCUCGAAGUUUCUUGCCCACAAAAGCCGAACGGUGAUGCCCAGACUCGGUUUCUUGGUUCCGUCCCAAAACGCCGAAAGAAAGGCACAAUGGCCUAGAAAGGAACGACCGGACUUGGAACGGGGUCGAAGGCCUCAAAAGUUCACGUCUGGCUACUGGGUGGUCCGAUUCUGAGUGGUCUCGAAGUUUCUUGCCCACAAAAGCCGAACGGUGAUGCCCAGACUCGGUUUCUUGGUUCCGUCCCAAAACGCCGAAAGAAAGGCACAAUGGCCUAGAAAGGAACGACCGGACUUAGAACGGGGUCGGCGGCCUCGAAAGUUCACCUCUAGCUACUGGGUGGUCCGAUUCUGAGUGCUCCUAAAGUUUCUUGCCCACAAAAGCCGAACGGUGAUGCCCCAGACUCGGUUUCUUGGUUUCGUCCCAAAACGCCGAAAGAAAGGCACAAUGGCCUAGAAAGGAAGGACGGGACUUAGAACGGGGUCGGAGGCCUCGAAAGUUCACGUCUAGCUACUGGGUGGUCCGAUUCUGAGUGGUCUCGAAGUUUCUUGCACAAAAGCCGAACGGUGAUGCCCCAGACUCGGUUUCUUGGUUCCGUCCCAAAACGCCGAAAGAAAGGCACAAUGGCCUAGAAAGGAACGACGGACUUAGAACGGGGUCGGACCUCGAAAGUUCACGUCUAGCUACUGGGUGGUCCGAUUCUGAGUGGUCUCGAAGUUUCUUGCCCACAAAAGCCGAACGGUGAUCCCCAGACUCGGUUUCUUGGUUCCGUCCCAAAACGCCGAAAGAAAGGCACAAUGGCCUAGAAAGGAACGACGGACUUAGAACGGGGUCGGCGGCCUCGAAAGUUCAAUCUGGCUACUGGGUGGUCCGAUUCUAGUGGUCUCGAAGUUUCUUGCCCACAAAAGCCGAACGGUGAUGCCCCAGACUCGGUUUCUUGGUUCCGUCCCAAAACGCCGAAAGAAAGGCACAAUGGCCUAAAAGGAACGACCGGACUUAGAACGGGGUCGGAGGCCUCGAAAGUUCACGUCUGGCUACUGGGUGGUCCGAUUCUAGUGGUCUCGAAGUUUCUUGCCCACAAAAGCCGAACGGUGAUGCCCCAGACUCGGUUUCUUGGUUCCGUCCCAAAACGCCGAAAGAAAGGCACAAUGGCCUAGAAAGGAACGACCGGACUUAGAACGGGGUCGGAGGCCUCGAAAGUUCACGUCUGGCUACUGGGUGGUCCGAUUCUCAGCAGUCUCGAAGUUUCUUGCCCACAAAAGCCGAACGGUGAUGCCCCAGACUCGGUUUCUUGGUUCCGUCCCAAAACGCCGAAAGAAAGGCACAAUGGCCUAGAAAGGAACGACCGGACUUAGAACGGGGUCGGAGGCCUCGAAAGUUCACGUCUGGCUACUGGGUGGUCCGAUUCUGAGCGGUCUCGAAGUUUCUUGCCCACAAAAGCCGAACGGUGAUGCCCAGACUCGGUUUCUUGGUUCCGUCCCAAAACGCCGAAAGAAAGGCACAAUGGCCUAGAAAGGAACGACCGGACUUAGAACGGGGUCGGAGGCCUCGAAAGUUCACGUCUGGCUACUGGGUGGUCCGAUUCUGAGUCUCGAAGUUUCUUGCCCACAAAAGCCGAACGGUGAUGCCCCAGACUCGGUUUCUUGGUUCCGUCCCAAAACGCCGAAAGAAAGGCACAAUGGCCUAGAAAGGAACGACCGGACUUAGAACGGGUCGGAGGCCUCGAAAGUUCACGUCUGGCUACUGGGUGGUCCGAUUCUGAGGUCUCGAAGUUUCUUGCCCACAAAAGCCGAACGGUGAUGCCCCAGACUCGGUUUCUUGGUUCCGUCCCAAAACGCCGAAAGAAAGGCACAAUGGCCUAGAAAGGAACGACCGGACUUAGAACGGGGUCGGAGGCCUCGAAAGUUCACGUCUGGCUACUGGGUGGUCCGAUUCUGAGUCUCGAAGUUUCUUGCCCACAAAAGCCGAACGGUGAUGCCCCAGACUCGGUUUCUUGGUUCCGUCCCAAAACGCGAAAGAAAGGCACAAUGGCCUAGAAAGGAACGACCGGACUUAGAACGGGGUCGGAGGCCUCGAAAGUUCACGUCUGGCUACUGGUGGUCCGAUUCUGAGCGGUCUCGAAGUUUCUUGCCCACAAAAGCCGAACGGUGAUGCCCAGACUCGGUUUCUUGGUUCCGUCCCAAAACGCCGAAAGAAAGGCACAAUGGCCUAGAAAGGAACGACCGGACUUAGAACGGGGUCGGAGGCCUCGAAAGUUCACGUCUGGCUACUGGGUGGUCCGAUUCUGAGUGGUCUCGAAGUUUCUUGCCCACAAAAGCCGAACGGUGAUGCCCCAGACUCGGUUUCUUGGUUCCGUCCCAAAACGCCGAAAGAAAGGCACAAUGGCCUAGAAAGGAACGACCGGACUUAGAACGGGGUCGGAGGCCUCGAAAGUUCACGUCUGGCUACUGGGUGGUCCGAUUCUGAGUGGUCUCGAAGUUUCUUGCCCACAAAAGCCGAACGGUGAUGCCCCAGACUCGGUUUCUUGGUUCCGUCCCAAAACGCCGAAAGAAAGGCACAAUGGCCUAGAAAGGAACGACCGGACUUAGAACGGCGGCCUCGAAAGUUCACGUCUGGCUACUGGGUGGUCCGAUUCUGAGUGGUCUCGAAGUUUCUUGCCCACAAAAGCCGAACGGUGAUGCCCCAGACUCGGUUUCUUGGUUCCGUCCCAAAACGCCGAAAGAAAGGCACAAUGGCCUAGAAAGGAACGACCGGACUUAGAACGGGGUCGGAGGCCUCGAAAGUUCACGUCUAGCUACGGGUGGUCCGAUUCUGAGUGGUCUCGAAGUUUCUUGCCCACAAAAGCCGAACGGUGAUGCCCCAGACUCGGUUUCUUGGUUCCGUCCCAAAACGCCGAAAGAAAGGCACAAUGGCCUAGAAAGGAACGACCGGACUUAGAACGGGGUCGGAGGCCUCGAAAGUUCACGUCUGGCUACUGGGUGGUCCGAUUCUGCGGUCUCGAAGUUUCUUGCCCACAAAAGCCGAACGGUGAUCCCAGACUCGGUUUCUUGGUUCCGUCCCAAAACGCCGAAAGAAAGCACAAUGGCCUAGAAAGGAACGACCGGACUUAGAACGGGGUCGGAGGCCUCGAAAGUUCACGUCUGGCUACUAGGUGGUCCGAUUCUGAGUGGUCUCGAAGUUUCUUGCCCACAAAACCAAACGGUGAUGCCCAGAAUCGGUUUCUUGGUUCCGUCCCAAAACGCCGAAGAAAGGCACAAUGGCCUAGAAAGGAACGACCGGACUUGGAACGGGGUCGGAGGCCUCGAAAGUUCACGUCUGGCUACUGGGUGGUCCGAUUCUGAGUGGUCUCGAAGUUUCUUGCCCACAAAAGCCGAACGGUGAUGCCCAGACUCGGUUUCUUGGUUCCGUCCCAAAACGCCGAAAGAAAGGCACAAUGGCCUAGAAAGGAACGACCGGACUUAGAACGGGGUCGGAGGCCUCGAAAGUUCACGUCUGGCUACUGGGUGGUCCGAUUCUGAGCGGUCUCGAAGUUUCUUGCCCACAAAAGCCGAACGGUGAUGCCCCAGACUCGGUUUCUUGGUUCCGUCCCAAAACGCCGAAAGAAAGGCACAAUGGCCUAGAAAGGAACGACCGGACUUAGAACGGGGUCGGAGGCCUCGAAAGUUCACGUCUGGCUACUGGGUGGUCCGAUUCUGGUCUCGAAGUUUCUUGCCCACAAAAGCCGAACGGUGAUGCCCAGACUCGGUUUCUUGGUUCCGUCCCAAAACGCCGAAAGAAAGGCACAAUGGCCUAGAAAGGAACGACCGACUUAGAACGGGGUCGGAGGCCUCGAAAGUUCACGUCUGGCUACUGGGUGGUCCGAUUCUGAGUGGUCUCGAAGUUUCUUGCCCACAAAAGCCGAACGGUGAUGCCCCAGACUCGGUUUCUUGGUUCCGUCCCAAAACGCCGAAAGAAAGGCACAAUGGCCUAGAAAGGAACGACCGGACUUAGAACGGGGUCGGAGGCCUCGAAAGUUCACGUCUGGCUACUGGGUGGUCCGAUUCUGAGUGGUCUCGAAGUUUCUUGCCCACAAAAGCCGAACGGUGAUGCCCAGACUCGGUUUCUUGGUUCCGUCCCAAAACGCCGAAAGAAAGGCACAAUGGCCUAGAAAGGAACGACCGACUUAGAACGGGGUCGGAGGCCUCGAAAGUUCACGUCUGGCUACUGGGUGGUCCGAUUCUGAGUGGUCUCGAAGUUUCUUGCCCACAAAAGCCGAACGGUGAUGCCCCAGACUCGGUUUCUUGGUUCCGUCCCAAAACGCCGAAAGAAAGGCACAAUGGCCUAGAAAGGAACGACCGGACUUAGAACGGGGUCGGAGGCCUCGAAAGUUCACGUCUGGCUACUGGGUGGUCCGAUUCUGAGUGGUCUCGAAGUUUCUUGCCCACAAAAGCCGAACGGUGAUGCCCAGACUCGGUUUCUUGGUUCCGUCCCAAAACGCCGAAAGAAAGGCACAAUGGCCUAGAAAGGAACGACCGGACUUAGAACGGGGUCGGAGGCCUCGAAAGUUCACGUCUGGCUACUGGUGGUCCGAUUCUGAGUCUCGAAGUUUCUUGCCCACAAAAGCCGAACGGUGAUGCCCAGACUCGGUUUCUUGGUUCCGUCCCAAAACGCCGAAAGAAAGGCACAAUGGCCUAGAAAGGAACGACCGGACUUAGAACGGGGUCGGAGGCCUCGAAAGUUCACGUCUGGCUACUGGGUGGUCCGAUUCUGAGUGGUCUCGAAGUUUCUUGCCCACAAAAGCCGAACGGUGAUGCCCAGACUCGGUUUCUUGGUUCCGUCCCAAAACGCCGAAAGAAAGGCACAAUGGCCUAGAAAGGAACGACCGGACUUAGAACGGUCGGAGAGCCUCGAAAGUUCACGUCUGGCUACUGGGUGGUCCGAUUCUGAGUGGUCUCGAAGUUUCUUGCCCACAAAAGCCGAACGGUGAUGCCCCAGACUCGGUUUCUUGGUUCCGUCCCAAAACGCCGAAAGAAAGGCACAAUGGCCUAGAAAGGAACGACCGGACUUAGAACGGGGUCGGAGGCCUCGAAAGUUCACGUCUGGCUACUGGGUGGUCGAUUCUGAGUGGUCUCGAAGUUUCUUGCCCACAAAAGCCGAACGGUGAUGCCCAGACUCGGUUUCUUGGUUCCGUCCCAAAACGCCGAAAGAAAGGCACAAUGGCCUAGGAAGGAACGACCGGACUUAGAACGGGGUCGGAGGCCUCGAAAGUUCACGUCAGCUACUGGGUGGUCCGAUUCUGAGUGGUCUCGAAGUUUCUUGCCCACAAAAGCCGAACGGUGAUGCCCAGACUCGGUUUCUUGGUUCCGUCCCAAAACGCCGAAAGAAAGGCACUAUGGCCUAGAAAGGAACGAGGAGAGAAGGGUCGGAGGCCUCGAAAGUUCACGUCUGGCUACUGGGUGGUCCGAUUCUGAGUGGUCUCGAAGUUUCUUGCCCAAAAAGCCGAACGGUGAUGCCCAGACUCGGUUUCUUGGUUCCGUCCCAAAACGCCGAAAGAAAGGCACAAUGGCCUAGAAGGAACGACCGGACUUAGAACGGGGUCGGAGGCCUCGAAAGUUCACGUCUGGCUACUGGGUGGUCCGAUUCUGAGGUCUCGAAGUUUCUUGCCCACAAAAGCCGAACGGUGAUGCCCAGACUCGGUUUCUUGGUUCCGUCCCAAAACGCCGAAAGAAAGGCACAAUGGCCUAGAAAGGAACGACCGGACUUAGAACGGGGUCGGAGGCCUCGAAAGUUCACGUCUGGCUACUGGGUGGUCCGAUUCUAGUGGUCUCGAAGUUUCUUGCCCACAAAAGCCGAACGGUGAUGCCCAGACUCGGUUUCUUGGUUCCGUCCCAAAACGCCGAAAGAAAGGCACUGGCCUAGAAAGGAACGACCGGACUUAGAAGGUGAGGCCUCGAAAGUUCACGUCUAGCUACUGGGUGGUCCGAUUCUGAGUGGUCUCGAAGUUUCUUGCCCACAAAAGCCGAACGGUGAUGCCCAGACUCGGUUUCUUGGUUCCGUCCCAAAACGCCGAAAGAAAGGCACAAUGGCCUAGGAAGGAACGACCGGACUUAGAACGGGGUCGGAGGCCUCGAAAGUUCACGUCUGGCUACUGGGUGGUCCGAUUCUCAGCGGUCUCGAAGUUUCUUGCCCACAAAAGCCGAACGGUGAUGCCCUAGACUCGGUUUCUUGGUUCCGUCCCAAAACGCGAAAGAAAGGCACAAUGGCCUAGAAAGGAACGACCGGACUUAGAACGGGGUCGGAGGCCUCGAAAGUUCACGUCUGGCUACUGGGUGGUCCGAUUCUGAGUGGUCUCGAAGUUUCUUGCCCACAAAAGCCGAACGGUGAUGCCCAGACUCGGUUUCUUGGUUCCGUCCCAAAACGCCGAAAGAAAGGCACAAUGGCCUAGAAAGAACGACCGGACUUAGAACGGGGUCGGAGGCUCGAAAGUUCACGUCUGGCUACUGGGUGGUCCGAUUCUGAGUGGUCUCGAAGUUUCUUGCCCACAAAAGCCGAACGGUGAUGCCCCAGACUCGGUUUCUUGGUUCCGUCCCAAAACGCCGAAAGAAAGGCACAAUGGCCUAGAAAGGAACGACCGGAUUAGAACGGGGUCGGAGGCCUCGAAAGUUCACGUCUGGCUACUGGUGGUCGAUUCUGAGUGGUCUCGAAGUUUCUUGCCCACAAAAGCCGAACGGUGAUGCCCAGACUCGGUUUCUUGGUUCCGUCCCAAAACGCCGAAAGAAAGGCACAAUGGCCUAGAAAGGAACGACCGGACUUAGAACGGGGUCGGAGGCCUCGAAAGUUCACGUCUGGCUACUGGGUGGUCCGAUUCUGAGCAGUCUCGAAUCUUCUUGCCCACAAAAGCCGAACGGUGAUGCCCCAGACUCGGUUUCUUGGUUCCGUCCCAAAACGCCGAAAGAAAGGCACAAUGGCCUAGAAAGGAACGACCGGACUUAGAACGGGUCGGAGGCCUCGAAAGUUCACGUCUGGCUACAGGGUGGUCCGAUUCUGAGUGGUCUCGAAGUUUCUUGCCCACAAAAGCCGAACGGUGAUGCCCCAGACUCGGUUUCUUGGUUCCGUCCCAAAACGACGAAAGAAAGGCACAAUGGCCUAGGAAGGAACGACCGAAGUUAGAACGGGGUCGGAGGCCUCGAAAGUUCACGUCUAGCUACUGGGUGGUCCGAUUUUGAGCGGUCUCGAAGUUUCUUGCCCACAAAAGCCGAACGGUGAUGCCCUAGUCUCGAUUUCUUGGUUCCGUCCAAAAACACGGAAAAGAAAGGCACAAUGGCCUAGAAAGGACUAACCGGACUUAGAACGGGGUCGGAGGCCUCGAAAGUUCACGUCCAGCUACUGGGUGGUCCGAUUCUUAGCGGUCUCGAAGUUUCUUGCCCACAGAAGCCGAAUGGUAAUGCCCUAGAUUCUAAUUCUUGGUUACGUCCCAAUACGCCGAAAGAAAGGCACAGUGGUCUAGAAAGGAACUGCCGGACUUAGAACGGGGUCGGAGGCCUCGAAAGUUCACGUCUAGCUAUUGGGUGGUCCGAUUCUUAGCGGUCUCGAAGCUUCUUGCCCACAAAAGUCGAACGGUGAUGCCCCAGACUGAUAGAACUAAGUCAUGCACAGCGGAAAAAGAAUCGAAUUUCUACUCUAAUUGCCACAAUUAUCAUAUAACCAUAAACUAAUCAAAUUAGGGUUUUAAGAAAUAUUACCUUUGAAGCUUUCAAAAGGUUUGAUAUCUUCUUACCAAUUCUAACCGAGACCACCACUAGUACUCAACUGCUAUCCUCUAGACAAAGAACCGGGUUGUGGGACCCAAUUUUGGUGUAGAAAGUAACGGAGAUAAAAUGAGAUUGGAAGCUUUCUUUUUUCUUUUGUCGAGAUGAUGAAAAUGAUAAAAGAGGCAAAAGUUCUUCAACAUUUGAAAACACCACUAUUUAUAACCUAAUUACAUGAAAAAAUGCAUGCAAUUCAUUUGCCAAAUCUCAACACCUAAUGUUCCACUAACAAUUAGUGGAACUUAGUGGGCUAGGUGUCUAUAUCUCAUAUAGCCACAUAUCCCACUAAGAGUUAGUGGGAUUAUCCAACAAAAUGUUGGAUUUUCCCACUAACUUAGUCCAAGGGUAAAAUGGUCAUUAGAUAUUUCUAGUCAAAAGUCAAACUUUGACUUUUCUUAGUCAAAAGUCAAUAUUUUGACUUUUUACCAUUUUGUCCGUCUUGACUAAUUCCAACCUCCCGAGCAUGAAUCCGCAUUCAUUUUUCCAAAAUUCAAAUCACAUUUGAAUAUAAGGCCGGUCAAAGUUUGACUUUGAAAAGUCAAAAAGUCAACAUUUUGACUUUUUACUAUUUUUGACCAAUUCCGAGCUUCUUAGUAUGAAUCCGCAUUCAUACUUAUAGUAUGUAAAACAUAAAGCUCUAUUUCUAAUUAGAAGACCGCCGACUAUAUCACUAUAUUUGUCGUUUCCCUUUCUUCUCCCAAUUCGAACAAUUCGACUUAUUUCAUCACACUGUUCUAAGUUUAAUCCAUAUGAGCUAGCAGAGGAACCUAAUGGACCUAUAGAUCAUGGGCUCCAACGAUUCAAGAUUAACUAGCUAAACUCUUUUAAACCUAGUUAAUCAACAUUCGUUAACUAACAGGUCAUUCCACUAAAGUCCCGUAGUUGCACUCCCCUCACUAUAGAUAUAUUUGUCCAUUUGAUAAAACCAUAAUCAGUAAGUUAAUCCUUCACAGGUUGCUCGUAACCUUGGCUGGGUCAAAAUACCAUUUUACCCCCAAGAUUACAUCUUGCUCCUUAAGUCCCACUAAUCCACUAUUGAACAAUUGGUUUAAGGUUCAACCUAUAAACUUAAUCUCUCUCGGGCCAAUGAGAGGGUGGGGCCCCUUGUUCUAGACUUGGAUUCAGUGCUUAAGAGAGCAACCUAUCUACUAACCCUAAAGCAGGUAGGAGUGAAUUCCAUCUUGUACCCUAUGUUCCCAGCUAUCCACCCGAUCUUACCCCUGAAAUGGGAGGCUUAUUGGGCCAACGCUGAUGAGCUGCCCUCACCUAUGCAGAUCUAAGGAUAAUCUCGUGUGAACAGGAGUUCAUAGUUAACUCAGGAUUAAGACUAAGUUACCUAGGUCAUCAAUAAUUGAGAUAGUCAGUUUUAAACAGUAAACGGUGUUAUAACGUAAAAAUGACUAAUUCAUGGUUCAGUCUUAUGUAAACAUUUUACAUAGGAUGCCCCCACUUUCAUGUCUCUACAUGAACGAUUAGGAUCACCUCGUUUGUACUAAAAAGUGGGCCGCAUCCAUAGUUUCUCUAAAUAAGGCGCCCAACCUUUAUUUCAUAUACUAUAGACUAUUUAGGCUAUAUACUCGAACUUGAUCCACGUUUAUGUUUACACAUAAAGUUCAAGUUUAUUCAAAAAAAUAGCCUUGGAACUUGAUUUAUUGGAUUUAAGAUUAUAAUAUUUAAUUUCUCAAUAACAAAUUUAUUGAACAGAAUAUGAUUUACAAACUACGAGUUUUAGGACAAAAAAUUCCAACAAGGUCUAGUACAUAACAUUGCAUACAUUAAACUUCCAACAGCGGAAGCAUAGGGAAUAUUUCUCAUAUCCUCAACUUCUUGAGGUGUCUUAGGACAUUGUUCCUUUGACAAAUGAAUUCCAUAUCUGUACGGCAGCAGACCCUUUUUGGAAUUCUGCAUUUUAUAUCUAGACAACAUUUUGUCUAUGUAAGAUGCUUGAGACAUGGCUAGUGUUUUGUUCUUACGGUUUCGAACAAUUUGGAUUCCGAGAACGUAUUGUGCAUCUCCCAGAUCUUUCAUUUGAAAUUGCAUAGCUAGCCAUUUCUUGAUAUCAGUAAGAUAUCCUACGUCAUUUCCAAUAAGUAGAAUAUCAUCUACAUAUAAGACUAAAAAUGCUAUAAUGGAAUUGACGACCUUUUUGUAAACACAAGGCUCGUCAACAUUUUGUUCAAAGCCAUAAGAUUUGAUCGCAGUAUCAAAUCUUAUAUUCCAGGAUCUAGAAGCUUGUUUUAAUCCAUAAAUGGAUUUUUUAAGCUUACAAACCUUUUGUUCUUGAUCUUGUUCUAUAAACCCCUCUGGUUGAGACAUAUAGAUACUCUCUUCAAGAUUACCGUUCAAAAAAGCUGUCUUGACAUCCAUCUGCCAAAUUUCAUAAUCAUAAAAAGUGGCGAUGGAUAAGAGUAUUCUAAUUGACUUUAACAUGGCAACGGAGAGAAAGUUUCCUCAUAGUCUACUCCCUCUCUCUGGUAUAACCCUUUGCCACAAGUCGAGCCUUAAAAGUCUGUACUUUACCGGCAUGGUCUCGUUUUCUCUUGUAGAUCCAUUUACAACCAAUAGGUUUUACGUCAUUUGGUUGAUCUACUAGAGUCCAGACAGAAUUAAAGUACAUAGACUCCAUUUCGAGGUCCAUGGCUUUGAUCCAUUGGUCACGAUCUACAUCUUUCAUUGCCUGUUUAUAGGUUAAUGGAUCCUCUAUGCCAUCGUCAGGUAUGACGACUUGAGUUUCAAUUAAACCCAAAUAGCGAUCAGGCUGAUGAACAACCCUCCCACUACGUCGAGGCUCUCUCAACUGUUGAGAAGGAUGUGAUUGACCAGAUUUCCUAGUCUUAUCAACUACCUUAGUGGAUGAACUAGGUUUAUCUAUAGCACUUUUGGAAAUUUCUUUUAAUACUAGUUUACUACGAGGUUGAUGAUCCCUGAUGUGGUCUUCCUCUAAGAAUGUGGCAUUUGUUGACACAAAUAUUUUAUUUUCUUGAGGAUCAUAAAACAAACCACCUCUUGAUUCUUUUGGAUAACCUAUGAAAAAGCAUAAUUUUGAACGAUGUUCCAAUUUCUUAGGAUUUUGUACCAACACGUGUGCUGGACAACCCCAAAUUCUAAAAUGACGUAAACUUCCUUUACGCCCUUUCCAUAGCUCAUAAGGUGUUUCUGAAACACUUUUAGAGGGAACAUUAUUCAAAAUAUAAGCAGCUGUUUCUAAAGCAUAUCCCAAAAAGAAUCUGACAUCUGAGAAAAACUCAUCAUAGAGCGAACCAUGUCUAACAAGGUCCGGUUUCUUCUUUCUGAUACACCGUUCUGUUGAGGUGUACUAGGUGCAGAGAGUUGUGACUGGAUUCCAUUUUCUAUUAAAUAGUCUCGGAAUCGUAAGUCCAUAUACUCUCCACCUCGAUCUGAUCGAAGUAUUUUUAUUGUUUUACCUAAUUCGUUUUCUACUUCAGCCUUAUAUUCUUUGAACUUUUCAAGACUAUUAGACUUAUGAUGUAUUAGGUAAAUAUGACCAUACCUUGAAUAAUCAUCAAUGAAGCUAAUGAAAUAUUCAUAUCCACCUCGAGCUUUGACAUUCAUUGGUCCACAAAGGUCCGAAUGUACGAGCUCUAAGGGUCCUUUGGCUCUUAGACCUUUUCCAGUAAAAGAUCUCUUGGUCAUUUUUCCUUCAAGACAAGAUUCACAAGGAGGUAAAGUAUUAUUUCUAACGACUUAGAAGCCCACUUUUAACUAAUCUCCCAAUCCUAUUGAGAUUUAUGUGACCAAGUCUUAAGUGCCAUAAAUAGGCAUUAGAAGAAACUUUUUGUCUUUUAUUCUGAGUUUCAGCUGUUCUGAAUAUUUCAGUAUUUAAGACAAAAUUUGCUCUGGUUGGUCUUAACUUAUAUAAGUUGUCUUCAAGUAUAGCAGAACAAACUAGAAUACCUUUAUAGAAAACGAACGCUUCAUUAAUUUCAAAAGAUAUUCUAUACAUUUGUUCCAAAAUACAAGAGAUAGAUAUUAAAUUUCUUUUCAUUUGAGGUACAUAUAAGACAUUCUUAAGUAUGACAUAUCUAUCUCUAAAAAACAACUUUAAAUCUCCCACUGCUGAAGUGAGACCAUCUCUCCUGUUCCAACCUUGAGAGUGAUCUCGCCUUCUGAAAGCUUUUUCAAGAACUAUUUUCCUGAAAUGAGAAGCAAAUAUGGUUAGUGGCUCCUGAAUCUAGUAUCCAGGUACAAUUUUCAUAUUCCACUAAACAUGUUUCUACAACUAGUAAAUCAUAUUUACCUUGUGUUUCCUUCUCUGCCUUUUUUUCUGCAAGGUAUUUUGGGCAGUUUCUUAACCAGUGCCCGUUUUGGCCACAAUGGUAACACUUACCUUUUUCUGCACCUUUCUUACCCUUGUUCUGUUUGGGAGUCUUUCCCUUUCCCUUCUUUUUUAUUUGAGCAUUAGGUUUUGAGGGUCCAGCUUUGGUUUUAGAGGACGAUCCUCUUAUAAAUUUUCUUUUUGUGGUAGCAACAUUUGCUUCCACUUGUUUUCCUUUACCCAUAGUAAGGUUUUGGAAUCGCUGGAGUUCAUUCAGAAGGGUUGUCAAGUUAAAUUCUAUCUUGUUCAAAGACGCAUUCGUUUGGAAUGGAAUGAAGCUCUUCGGAAGAGACUCUAAGAUAAAACUAACUUGAUUAACCUCUUCGAUGGGACCACCAUUCACUUCAGCGAUGUUGAAGUGCAUCAUCAUGUCCAGAACAUGUUCUCUAACAGAGGUCCCUUCCUUCAUACGCUUAGUGUAAAUGUAUUUGACUGCCUCGUGUCUUAAGGACAUUCUGGUUGCCCAAACAUUCCCCUUAAUGAAUCCAUAAUCUCUUUAGCCGUGGCUAAGGAUUCAUGUUUCUUUGCCAAUACAUCAGACAUGCUGGCAAGAAUGUAGACACGGCUUUUUCAUUAGCUUUUAUCCAUCGAUCAUAUGCAUCCCGACUAGUUCGGUUAGCAUUAGAGGCAGGGUUUUGAGGACAUUCCUCAGUUAAGACAAAUCUUAAAUCGUCAACCACUAGUAUUGUGUUAAGAUUUGAUUUCCAAGCCGCAUAAUUAUCGCCAUUAAGUUUUUCGGAAGCUAAAAGUUGAACUAUUGAGCUAUUCAUGCUGAAAAACAAACAUAUUCUUUUUAGGAAAAAACUAUAAUCAUAAAAAAUAUCCAAUCUAAUUUAGCAAUUACUAAUAAUGUACCCUUUCAUUAUUUGUAUUUUGCAACAAUAUUUCAAAGGUUUAGAACAACCUUCUCCGAAGGGUAGUUGAUUAUUCCUCCUUUGAACCAAGACAAUCUUGACUAGAUGCUAUCUCUAGAAUAACUGCUUAUUCUUUAUAGCACUUAGUUAUCGCUACUUUAGUCAAGAAUAUACUAACAACUUAGUAAUUCUUGUAAGUGUUACCCACCAUUUUCAGAUUUCAUAGAUUAGAAUCAUUUAUGAAAACUAAUCUAAGAAAACCUAUCCAGAUUUGGAGUUCGCGGUGUUCCGAAUCCUAUAAUACAACCCUCCGAAGGGAACGUCGCUCCAGGGCAGACAAGCAGGCAUAUUAUAGAAAUCUCACGGUGCGACCUAAUGGAAGAGACCGUGGAUGUGCUGCCACAAAUCCCUCACCCACUUACUAUGAACUACUUCCCCUAUUCACCUUGAUUUUGAUCCAUGCAAACACUCUCCGAAGGGAGGCCGCUCCUAUGCACGGCACAAAGCCCUGCAUGGACCUCACGGUGUGAACUCUUAGGGACACUAGAGCUAAAAUACAUUAUUUUUCUCUAGUUGAAGUGUUCUAAAAGAAGAAAAAAAAUAGGGUAAUCCAAGCUUCAAGAUUUAUAUUUAGGCUAACUUAAACAAAUCUUUAAGUCUAGAUAAAACAUCCAAGUAUAACCAUUAUACAGGAUUUUAACCUAUGAUGUCUAGGUGUAAACCAUUUUUAUUACCUCACACCUCUCACGAAUGCUCAUAAAACUAGGUUAACUAGGCUCAAGAACUGAUUACGAUCUCCAGGUAGGAGGUGUUCCGUAAACCGUCAACUUAAGAACCUCCAACCUUAGUCAUCUUAUCUGACUUGUUGACAAGAUUGAACCAGGUGAGCCUUUUGUAACCAGUUUUACAAGAUAUCGACCUAUUUCUAUGAAAAAUGGAAGAUAUGUUUAACCUAAGUGAGCAUGCAUUUAAUCUUUGUUAUUGAUUUUAAAAGUCUAAUUUAUUUUAUAACACUUAUAAAAACUUUUAACUUAAUCAAUCAUUUUAUCAAUAUAUAACCUUAUAAAAACAAUCAAUUAAUAUGGAUUUUAAUUUAUUUAACUUUAAUUAAAUCAUAUUUAAUUUUUAAUUUAAUUAAAUCAUAUUUAAUUAAAUUAAAUCAAACAAUAAUUAAUUAAUUUGAUUAAAUCAUAUUUAAUCAAGAAUAACUUAAUUAAUUAAAUAAUUAAUUAAUCAUAUUAAUUAAUUUCCAUAUUAAUCAAUCAUAUUAAUUAAUUUCCAUAUUAAUCAAUUAACAUGCAUACAAUACAAUAUAACCUUUAUAUCAUACAUUUUAAUGCAUGAACAUGUUAACCUAUGGUGGAUUUUAAAUCUAUAUGACAUUCAAAUGCACAUACAAAUUUAAAGUAAUUUAAUCAUACAUCACAUGCAUAAAUAAAAAAACACCCUAAAAUGGACUGAUUUUUGGCUCCUAAAUUAAGCUAAGUACUAAAUUAUUACAUAAUUAAUUUGGUGUAGUACAGAACCACUCCAAAACAUCGAACCUGCCCAAAAACCAAAUUUAUUGGCUUGAACCGGGCCAAUUAACUAAACAGGCCCAGGCGCACACAGGUCAGGCGCAGGUGGGCGCGCGGGCACGCGGGCGCAGGCGGGUCGCGAAGCGGGUCAAGGCCGGGUUUUCGGUCUGUGACCUUCUUUUCUUCAUUUUUUUCAAUUCUCUCACCCGGUUGAACCAAUUACAGCCUAACUUCAACUCUAAUGAUUUUUUUUAUUUUAAAAAAAAUUACAAAACACUUUGCAACAAUAAAAAUAAGCCAUUAACAAGGCUAAUUACAAUAAUUAAACAAAAACACUUAACCUAGAGCCAAAAUCAUAAUAUAUCCAUUUUAGUUCAAACCAAAAUUUAUCUAAUAAAUAUGAACCCACCACAUGCAAUUGGGUAAAAAUGAAGCAUGCUCUGAUACCACAUGAUAGAACUAAGUCAUGCACAGCGGAAAAAGAAUCGAAUUUCUACCCUAAUUGCCACAAUUAACAUGUAACCAUAAAUUAAUCAAAUUAGGGUUUUAGGAAAUAUUACCUUUGAAGCUUUCAAAAGGUUUGAUAUCUUCUUACCAAUUCUAACCGAGACCACCACUAGUACUCAACUGCUAUCCUCUUGACAAAGAACCGGGUUGUGGGACCCAAUUUUGGUGUAGAAAGUAAUGGAGAUAAAAUGGGAUUGGAAUGUUUCUUUUUUUUCUUUUGUUGAGAUGAUGAAAAUGAUAAAAGAGGCAAAAGUUCUUCAACAUUUGAAAACACCUCUAUUUAUAACCUAAUUACAUGCAAAAAUGCAUGCAAUUCAUUUGCCAAAUCUCAACACCUAAUGUUCCACUAACAAUUAGUGGAACUUAGUGGGCUAGGUGUCUAUCUCAUAUAGCCACAUAUCCCACUAAGAGUUAGUGGGAUUAUCCAACAAAAUGUUGGAUUUCCACUAACUUAGUCCAAGGGUAAAAUGGUCAUUAGAUAUUUCUAGUCAAAAGUCAAACUUUGACUUUUGUUAGUCAAAAGUCAAUAUUUUGACUUUUUACCAUUUUGUCCGUCUUGACUAAUUCCAACCUCCCGAGCAGAAGGGGGUCGGAGGCCCCGAAAGUUCACGUCUAGCUACUGGAUGGUCCGAUUCUGAGUGGUCUCGAAGUUUCUUGCCCACAAACGCCGAACGGUGAUGCCCCAGACUCAGUUUCUUGGUUCCGUCCCAAAACGCCGAAAGAAAGGCACAAUGGCCUAGAAAGAAAUGGCCGGACUUAGAAAGGGGUCGGAGGCCCCAAAAGUUCACGUCUAGUUACUAGGUGGUCUGAUUCUGAGUGGUCUCGAAGUUUCUUACCCACAAAAGCCGAGCGGUGAUGCCCAGACUCGGUGUCUUGGUUCCGUCCCAAAACGCCAAAAGAAAGGCACAAUGGCCUAGAAAGGAACGACCGGACUUAGAACGGGGUCGGAGGCCCCGAAAGUUCAUGUCUAGCUACUGGGUGGUCCGAUUCUGAGUGGUCUCGAAGUUUCUUACCCACAAAAGGCGAACGGUGAUGCCCCAGACUCGGUUUCUUGAUUCCGUCCCAAAACACCGAAGAGAGGCACAAUGGCCUAGAAAGGAACGACCGGACUUAGAAUGGGGUUAGAGGCCUCGAAAGUUCACAUCUAGCUACUAGGUGGUCCGAUUCUGAGUGGCCUCAAAGUUUCUUGCCCACAAAAGCCGAACGGUGAUGACCAAGACUCGGUUUCUUGGUUCCGUCCCAAAAUGCCGAAAGAGAGGCACAAUGGCAUAGAAAGGAACGACCGGACUUAGAGUGGGGUCGGAGGCCUCGAAAGUUCACAUCUAGCUACUGGGUGGUCCGAUUCUGAGUGGUCUCGAAGUUUCUUACCAACAAAAGCCGAACGGUGAUGCCUCAGACUCGGUGUCUUGGUUCCGUCCCUAAACGCCGAAAGAAAGGCACAAUGGCCUAGAAAGGAACAGCCGGACUUAGAAGGGGGUCGGAGGACCCGAAAGUUCACGUCUAGCUACUGGGUGGUCCGAUUCUUAGUGGUCUCGAAGUUUCUUACCCACAAAAGCCGAACGGUGAUGCCCAGACUCGGUUUCUUGGUUCCGUCUCGAAACGCCGAAAGAAAGGCAUAAUGGCCUCGAAAGGAACGUCCAGACUUAGAACGGGGUCGGAGGCCUCGAAAGUUCACGUCUAGCUACUGGGUGGUCCGAUUCUUAGUGGUCUCGAAGUUUCUUGCCCACAAAAGCCGAACGGUGAUGCCCAAGACUAGGUUUCUUGGUUCCAUCCUAAAACGCCGAAAGAGAGGCACAAUGGCAUUGAAAGGAAUGACCGAACUUAGAACAGAGUCGGAGGCCUCGAAAGUUUACGUCUAGCUACUCAGUGGUCCGAUUCUGAGUGGACUCGAAGUUUCUUGCCCACAAAAGUCAAAGGUGAAGCCCAGACUCGGUUUCUUGGUUCCGUCUCAAAACGCCGAAAGAAAGGCACAAUGGCCUCGAAAGGAACAACCAGACUUAGAACGGGGUCGAAGGCCUCGAAAGUUCACGUCUAGCUACUAGGUGGUCCGAUUCUGAGUGGCCUCAAAGUUUCUUGCCCACAAAAGCCAAACGGUGAUGCCCCAGACUCGGUUUCUUGGUUCCGUCCCAAAACGCCGAAGAGAGGCAAAAUGGCGUUGAAAGGAACGACCGGAUUUAGAACGGGGUCGGAGGCCUCGAAAGUUUACGUCUAGCUACUCGGUGUUCCAAUUAUGAGUGAUCUCGAAGUUUCUUGCCCACAAAAGUCGAAAGGUGAUGCCCAGACUCGGUUUCUUGGUUCCGUCCCAAAACGCCGAAAGAGAGGCACAAUGGCGUAGAAAGGAACGACCGAACUUAGAACGAGGUCGGAGGCCCCAAAAGUUCACGUCUAGCUACUCGGUGGUCCGAUUCUGAGUGGUCUCGAAAUUUCUUGCCCAUAAAAGUCGAACGGUGAUGCCCUAGACUCGAUUUCUUGGUUCCGUCUCAAAACGCCGAAAGAAAGGCAUAAUAACCUCGAAAGGAACGACCAGACUUAGAACGGGGUCGGAGGCCUUGAAAGUUCACGUCUAGCUAUUGGGUGGUUUGAUUCUUAGUGGUCUCGAAGUUUCUUGCCCACAAAAGCCGAACGGUGAUGCCCAGACUCGGUUUCUUUGUUCCGUCCCAAAACGCCGAAAGAGAGGCACAAUGGCCUAGAAAGGAACGACCAAACUUAGAACGAGGUCGGAGGCCUUGAAAGUUCACGUCUAGCUACUGGGUGGUUCGAUUCUGAUUGGUCUCGAAGUUUCUUGCCCACAAAAGCCGAACGGUGAUGCCCCAGACUCGGUUUCUUGGUUCCGUCCCAAAACGCCGAAAGAGAGGCACAAUGGCCUAGAAAGGAACGACCGAACAUAGAACGGGGUCGGAGGCCUCGAAAGUUCACGUCUAGCUACUGGAUGGUCCGAUUCUGAGUGAUCUCGAAGUUUCUUGCCAACAAAAGCCGAACCGUGAUGCCCAAGACUCGGUUUCUUUGUUCCGUCCCAUAACGCCGAAAGAGAGGCACAAUGGCCUAGAAAGGAACGACCGAACAUAGAACGGGGUCGAAGGCCUCGAAAGUUCACGUCUAGCUACUGGGUGGUCCGAUUCUGAGUGGUCUCGAAGUUUCUUUCCCACAAAAGCCAAACGGUGAUGCCUAGACUCGGUUUCUUGGUUCCUUGCCAAAACGGCGAAAGAGAGGCACAAUGGCCUAGAAAUGAACGACCGGACUUAAAAUAGGGUCGGAGUGCUCGAAAGUUCACGUCUAGCUACUGGGUGGUUCGAUUCUGAGUGGUCUCGAAGUUUCUUUACCAAAAGCUUAACGGUGAUGCCCAAGACUCGGUUUCUUGGUUCCGUCCCAAAACGUCGAAAGAGAGGCACAAUGGCCUAGAAAGGAACGACCGAACAUAGAACGGGGUCGGAGGCCUCGAAAGUUCACCUCUAGCUACUGGGUGGUCCGAUUCUGAGUGGUCUCGAAGUUUCUUGCCAACAAAAGCCGAACCGUGAUGUCCCAGACUCGGUUUCUUUGUUCCGUCCCAUAACGCCGAAAGACAGGCACAAUGGCCUAGAAAGAAACGACCGAACAUAGAAUGGGGUCGGAGGCCUCGAAAGUUCACGUCUAGCUACUUGGUGGUCGGAUUCUGAGUGGUCUCAAAGUUUCGUGUCCACAAAAGUCGAACAGUGAUGCCCUAGACCCGGUUUCUUGGUUCCGUUCAAAACGCCGAAGACGGGCACAAUGGCCUAGAAAGAAACAACCGGACUUAGAACGGGGUCGGAGGCCUCGAAAGUUCACGUCUAGUACUGGGUGGUCCAAGUCUGGGUGAUCUCGAAGAUUCUUGCCCACGAAAGCCGAACGGUGAUGCCCCAGACUCGAAUUCUUGGUUCCGUCCCAAAACGCCGAAGAAAGGCACAAUGGCCUAAAAAGGAACGAUCGGGCUCAGAACGGGGUCGGAGGCCCUGAAAGUUCACAUCUAACCACUAGGCGGUCCAAUUCUGAGUGAUCUCGAAGUUUCUUUCCCUCAAAAGCCGAACAAUGAUGCCCCAUACUCGUUUUCUUUGUUUGAUCCUAAAACGCGAAAGAAAGGCACAAUGGCCUUGAAAGGAACGACCGAACUCAGAACGGGAUCGGAGGCUCCGAGCAUUCACAACUAACCACUGGGCGGUCCAAUUCUGAGUGAUAUCAAAGUUUCUUGCCCACAAAAGCCGAACGGUGAUGCCCCAUACUCGGUUUCUUGGUUUCGUCCCAAAACCCUAAAGAAAGGCACAAUUGCCUAGAAAGGAACGACAAUACUUUGAACGGGGUCGGAGGCCUCGAAAGUUCACAUCUAACCACUGGGCGGUCCGAUUCUGAGUGAUCUCGAAGUUUCCUGCCCAUAAAAGUCGAACGGUGAUGCCCCAUACUCGGUUUCUUGGUUCCGUCCCAAAACGUCGAAGAAAUGCACAAUGGCCAAGAAAGGAACGACCGGAUUCUGAACGGGGUCGGAGGCCUCGAAAGUAUAUAUCUAACCACUGGGCGGUUCGAUUCUGAGUGAUCUCGAAGUUUCUUGCCCACAAAAGAUGAACGGUGAUGGCCCAUACUCGGUUUCUUGGUUCCGUCCCAAAACGUCGAAGAAAGGCACGAUGGCCUAGAAAGGAGCGACUGGACUCAGAACAAGGUCGGAGGCCCCGAAAGUUCACAUCAAACCAAUGGGCGGUCCGAUUCUAAGUGAUCUCAAAUUUUCUUGCCCACAAAAGUCGAACGGUGAUGCCCCACACUCGGUUUUUUGGUUCCGUCCCAAAACGUCGAAGAAAGUCACGAUGGCCUAGAAAGGAACUACCGGACUCAGAACAGGGUCGGAGGCCUCGAAGUUCACAUCUAACCACUGGGCGGUCCAGUUCUGAGUGAUCCCAAAGUUUCUUGCCCACAAAAGCCAAACGUUGAUGCCUCAUACUCGGUUUCUUGGUUGCAUCCCAAAACGCCGAAGAAAGGCACAAUGGCCUAGAAAUGAACUAUCUGACUCAGAACGGGAUCAAAGGCCUCAAAAGUUCACAUCUAACUACUGGCGGUCUGAUUCUGAGUGAUCUCGAAGUUUCUUGUCCACAAAAUCCGAACGGUGAUGUCCCACACUCGGUUUCUUGGUUCCGUCCCAAACGCCGAAGAAAGGCACAAUGGCCUAGAAAGAAACGACCAGACUCAGAACGGGGUCGGAGGCCCCAAGAGUUCACAUCUAACCACUAGGCGGUCCGAUUCUGAGUGAUCUCGAAGUUUCUUGACCACAAAAGCCGAACGGUGAUGCCCCAUACUCGGUUUCUUGGUUCCGUCCCAAAACACCAAAGAAAAGCACAAUGGCCUAAAAAGGAACGACUGGACUCAGAACGGGGUCGGAGGCCCUGAAAGUUCACAUCUAACCACUAGGCGGUCCAAUUCUGAGUGAUCUCGAAGUUUCUUGCCCUCAAAAGCCGAACGGUGAUGCCCCAUACUCAUUUUCUUGGUUUCGUCCUAAAACGAAAGAAAGGCACAAUGGCCUUGAAAGGAACGUUCGGACUCAGAACGGGGUCGGAGGCCCCGAGCGUUCACAUCUAACCACUAGGCGGUCCAAUUCUGAGUGAUAUCAAAGUUUCUUGCCCACAAAAGCCGAACGGUGAUGCCCCAUACUCGAUUUCUUGGUUCCGUCCCAAAACGCAGAAGAAAGGCACAAUGGCCUAGAAAGGAACGACCGGACUUAGAACGGGGUCGGAGGCCUCGAAAGUUCACGUCUGGCUCUGAGUGAUCACGAAGUUUCUUCCCCACAAAAGUCGAACGGUGAUGCCCCAUACUCGGUUUCUUUAUUCCGUCCCAAAACGCCGAAGAAAGGCACAAUGGCCUAAAAAGGAAAGAUCGGGCUCAAAACGGGGUCGCAGGCCCUGAAAGUUCAUAUCUAACCACUGGGCGGUCCGAUUCUGAGUGAUCUCAAAGUUUCUUGCCCACAAAAGCCGAACGGUGAUGCCCAGACGCGGUUUCUUGGUUUCGUGCCAAAACGCCGAAGAAAGGCACAAUGGCCUAGAAAGGAACUAUCGUACUCAAAACGGGGUCGGACGCCUCGAAAGUUCACAUUUAACCACUGGGCGGUCCGAUUCUGAAUGAUCUCGAACUUUCUUGCCCACAAUAGCCGAACGGUGAUGCCCCACACUCGGUUUCUUGGUUUCGUCCCAAAACGCCGAAGAAAGGCACAAUGGCCUAGAAAGGAAUGACCGGACUCAGAACAGGUUGGAGGCCCCGAAAGUUCACAUCUAACCACUGGACGGUCCGAUUCGGAGUGAUCUCGAAGUUUUUUGCCCACAAAAGCCAAACGGUGAUGUCCCAAACUCGAUUUCUUGGUUCCGUCCCAAAACGGAGAAGAAAGGCACAAUGGCCUAGAAAGGAACGACCGGACUCAGAACGGGGUCGGACGCCCUGAGAGUUCACAUCUAACCACUGGGCGGUCCGAUUUUGAGUGAUCUCGAAGUUUCUUGCCCACAAAAGCCGAACGGUGAUGCCGCAUACUCGGUUUCUUGGUUUCGUCCCAAAACGCCGAAGAAAGGCACAAUGGCCUAGAAAGGAACGACCAGACUCAAAACGGGGUUGGAGGCCCCGAAAGUUCACAUCUAACCACUGGACUGUCCGAUUCUGAGUGAUCUCCAAGUUUCUUGCCCACAAAAGCCGAACGGUGAUGCCCCAUACUCGAUUUCUUGGUUCCGUCCCAAAACGCCGAAGAAAGGCACAAUGGCCUAGAAAGGAACGACCGGACUAAGAACGGGGUCGGAGGCCCCGAGAGUUCACAUCUUACCACUGGGCGGUCCAAUUCUGAGUGAUCUCGAAGUUUGUUACCCACAAAAGCCGAACGGUGAUGCCCCUAAAAUAGUUUACAUAGGAUGCCCCCACUUUCAUGUCUCUACAUGAACGAUUAUGAUCACCUCGUUUGUACUACAAAGUGGGCCGCAUCCAUAGUUUCUCUAAAUAAGGCACCCAACCUACAAAGUGGGCCAUGAGGGCUUUUGUAAAAGGAUCAGCAAUGUUUGGCUGAGGAGAAAUCUGGGUUACUACAACGUCACCACGAUGUACAAUUUCCCUGAUAAGAUGGUACUUGCGUUCAAUAUGCUUUCCUCUUUUAUGGCUUCUAGGUUCUCUUGAAUUUGCAACUGCACCACUGUUGUCACAGUAUAAAGUGAUUGGUAGAUGCAUAUUUGGAACGACUUCCAAUUCUGUCAAGAAUUUUCUUAGCCAUACUACUUCUUUUGCUGCUUCACAAGCCGCUACGUAUUCAGCUUCCAUUGUGGAAUCAGCUAUACAAGUUUGCUUUAUGCUUCUCCAAACUACUGCUCCUCCAUUUAGAGUAAAUACUGAUCCUGAUGUAGACUUUCUAGCAUCUUUAUCAGUUUGGAAAUCUGAAUCAGUGUAUCCAGUAAGGAUCAGAUCCUUUGUACCAUACAUGAGCAUGUAGUCUUUUGUUCUUCGAAGAUAUUUUAGAAUGUUUUUAACGGUUGUCCAGUGAUCACGUCCAGGAUUGGAUUGAUACCUACUGACCAUCCCUACUGAAUAGCAAAUGUCAGGUCUAGUACAUAACAUUGCAUACAUUAAACUUCCAACAGCGGAAGCAUAGGGAAUAUUUCUCAUAUCCUCAACUUCUUGAGGUGUCUUAGAACAUUGUUCCUUUGACAAAUGAAUUCCAUAUUUGUACGGCAGCAGACCCUUUUUAGAAUUCUGCAUUUUAUAUCUAGACAACAUUUUGUCUAUGUAAGAUGCUUGAGACAUGGCUAGUGUUUUGUUCUUACGGUUUCGAAUAAUUUGGAUUCCGAGAACGUAUUGUGCAUCUCCCAGAUCUUUCAUUUGAAAUUGCAUAGCUAGCCAUUUGUUCUUGAUCUUGUUCUAUAAACCCCUCUGGUUGAGACAUAUAGAUACUCUCUUCAAGAUUACCGUUCAAAAAAGCUGUCUUGACAUCCAUAUGCCAAAUUUCAUAAUCAUAAAAAGUGGAGAUGGAUAAGAGUAUUCUAAUUGACUUUAGCAUGGCAACGGGAGAGAAAGUUUCCUCAUAGUCUACUCCCUCUCUCUGGGUAUAACCCUUUGCCACAAGUCGAGGCUUAAAAGUCUGUACUUUACCGGUUUGGUCUCGUUUUCUCUUGUAGAUCCAUUUACAACCAAUAGGUUUUACGUCAUUUGGUUGAUCUACUAAAGUCCGGACAGAAUUAAAGUACAUAGACUCCAUUUCGAGGUCCAUGGCUUUGAUCCAUUGGUCACGAUCUACAUCUUUCAUUGCCUGUUUAUAGGUUAAUGGAUCCUCUAUGCCAUCGUCAGGUAUGACGACUUGAGUUUCAAUUAAACCCAAAUAGCGAUCAGGCUUAUGAACAACCCUCCCACUACGUCGAGGCUCUCUCAACUGUUAAGAAGGAUGUGAUUGACCAGAUUUCCUAGUCUUAUCAACUACUUUAGUGGAUGAACUAGGUUUAUCUAUAGCACUUUUGGAAAUUUCUUUUAAUACUAGUUUCCUACGAGGUUGAUGAUCCCUGAUGUGGUCUUCCUCUAAGAAUGUGGCAUUUGUUGACACAAAUAUUUUAUUUUCUUGAGGAUCAUAAAACAAACCACCUCAUGAAAAAGCAUAAUUUUGAACGAUGUUCCAAUUUCUUAGGAUUUUGUACCAACAUGUGUGCUGGACAACCCCAAAUUCUAAAAUAACGUAAACUUCCUUUACGCCCUUUCCAUAGCUCAUAAGGUGUUUCUGAAACACUUUUAGAGAGAACAUUAUUCAAAAUAUAAGAAGCUGUUUCUAAAGCAUAUCCCCAAAAAGAAUCUGGCAUCUGAGAAAAACUCAUCAUAGAGCGAACCAUGUCUAACAAGGUCCGGUUUCUUCUUUCUGAUACACCGUUCUGUUGAGGCGUACUAGGUGCAGAGAGUUGUGACUGGAUUCCAUUUUCUAUUAAAUAGUCUUGGAAUCGUAAGUCCAUAUACUCUCCACCUCGAUCUGAUCGAAGUAUUUUUAUUGUUUUACCAAAUUCGUUUUCUACUUCAGCCUUAUAUUCUUUGAACAUUUCAAGACUAUUAGACUUAUGAUGUAUUAGUUAAAUAUGACCAUACCUUGAAUAAUCAUCAAUGAAGCUAAUGAAAUAUUCAUAUCCACCUCGAGCUUUGACAUUCAGUGGUCCACAAAGGUCCGAAUGUACGAGCUCUAAGGGUCCUUUGGCUCUAAGACCUUUUCCAGUAAAAGAUCUCUUGGUCAUUUUUCCUUCAAGACAAGAUUCACAAGGAGGUAAAGAGUUAUCUUCUAACUGACUUAGAAGCCCACUUUUAACCAAUCUCCCAAUCCUAUUGAGAUUUAUGUGACCAAGUCUUAAGUGCCAUAAAUAGGCAUUAGAAGAAACUUUUUGUCUUUUAUUCUGAGUUUCAGCUGUUCUGAAUAUUUCAGUAUUUAAGACAAAAUUUGCUCUGGUUGGUCUUAACUUAUAUAAGUUGUCUUCAAGUAUGGCAGAACAAACUAGAAUACCUUUAUAGAAAACGAACGCUUCAUUAAUUUCAAAAGAUAUUCUAUACAUUUGUUCCAAAAUACAAGAGAUAGAUAUUAAAUUUCUUUUCAUUUGAGGUACAUAUAAGACAUUCUUAAGUAUGACAUAUCUAUCUCUAAAAAACAACUUUAAAUCAACCACUGCUCUAGCUGAGACCAUCUCUCCUGUUCCAACCUUGAGAGUGAUCUCGCCUUUUGAAAGCUUUUUCCAAGAACUAUUUUCCUGAAAUGAGAAGCAAAUAUGGUUAGUGGCUCCUGAUUCUAGUAUCCAGGUAUAAUUUUCAUAUUCCACUAAACAUGUUUCUACAACUAGUAAAUCAUAUUUACCUUGUGUUUCCUAGUAUCAAGGUAUUUUGGGCAUGUUCCUAACGAGUGCCCGUUUUGGCCACAAUGGUAACACUUACCUUUUUCUGCACCUUUCUUACCCUUGUUCUGUUUGGGAGUCUUUCCCUUUCCCUUCUUUUUUAUUUGAGCAUUAGGUUUUGAGGGUCCAUCUUUGGUUUUAGAGGACGAUCCUCUUAUAAAUUUUCUUUUUGUGGUAGCAACAUUUGCUUCCACUUGUUUUCCUUUACCCAUAGUAAGGUUUUGGAAUCGCUGGAGUUCAUUCAGAAGGGUUGUCAAGUUAAAUUCUAUCUUGUUCAAAGACGCAUUCGUUUGGAAUGGAAUGAAGCUCUUCGGAAGAGACUCUAAGAUAAAAUUAACUUGAUUAACCUCUUCGAUGGGACCACCAUUCACUUCAGCGAUGUUGAAGUGCAUCAUCAUGUCCAGAACAUGUUCUCUAACAGAGGUCCCUUCCUUCAUACGCUUAGUGUAAAUGUAUUUGACUGCCUCGUGUCUUAAGGACCAUUCUGAUUGCCCAAACAUUCCCCUUAAUGAAUCCAUAAUCUCUUUAGCCGUGGCUAAGGAUUCAUGUUUCUUUGCCAAUACAUCAGACAUGCUGGCAAGAAUGUAGACACAGGCUUUUUCAUUAGCUUUUAUCCAUCGAUCAUAUGCAUCCCGACUAGUUCGGUUAGCAUUAGAGGUAGGGUUUUGAGGACAUUCCUCAGUUAAGACAAAUCUUAAAUCGUCAACCACUAGUAUUGUGUUAAGAUUUGAUUUCCAAGCCGCAUAAUUAUCGCCAUUAAGUUUUUCGAAAGCUAAAAGUUGAACUAUUGAGCUAUUCAUGCUGAAAAACAAACAUAUUCUUUUUAGGAAAAAACUAUAAUCAUAAAAAAUAUCCAAUCUAAUUUAGCAAUUACUAAUAAUGUACCCUUUCAUUAUUUGUAUUUUGCAACAAUAUUUCAAAGGUUUAGAACAACCUUCUCCGAAGGGUAGUUGAUUAUUCCUCCUUUGAACCAAGACAAUCUUGACUAGAUGCUAUCUCUAGAAUAACUGCUUAUUCUUUAUAGCACUUAGUUAUCGCUACUUUAGUCAAGAAUAUACUAACAACUUAGUAAUUCUUGUAAGUGUUACCCACCAUUUUCAGACUUCAUAGAUUAGAAUCAUUUAUGAAAACUAAUCUAAGAAAACCUAUCCAGAUUUGGAGUUCGCGGUGUUCCGAAUCCUAUAAUACAACCCUCCGAAGGAACGUCGCUCCAGGGCAGACAAGUAGGCAUAUUAUAGAAAUCUCACGGUGCGACCUAAUGGAAGAGACCGUGGGAUGUGCUGCCACAAAUCCCUCACCCACUUACUAUGAACUACUUCCCCUAUUCACCUUGAUUUUGAUCCAUGCAAACACUCUCCGAAGGGAGUCCGCUCCUAUGCACAGCACAAAGCCCUGCAUGGACCUCACAGUGUGAACUCUUAGGGACACUAGAGCUAAAAUACAUUUAUUUUUCUCUAGUUGAAGUGUUCUAAAGAAGAAAAAAAUAGGGUAAUCCAAGCUUCAAGAUUUAUAUUUAGGCUAACUUAAACAAAUCUUUAAGUCUAGAUAAAACGUCCAAGUAUAACCAUUAUACAGGAUUUUAACCUAUGAUGUCUAGGUGAUAAACCAUUUUUAUUACCUCACACCUCUCACGAAUGCUCAUAAAACUAGGUUAACUAGGCUCAAGAACUGAUUACGAUCUCCAGGUAGGAGGUGUUCCGUAAACCGUCAACUUAAGAACCUCCAGCCUUAGUCAUCUUAUCUGACUUGUUGACAAGAUUGAACCAGGUGAGCCUUUU